UUUUUCAAGACCCUAAGCAAAACUUGGCAAAUCCAGCUGCCCUUUGUCAUUAUGAUAGAUUCGAAAUUUGGUAUUCAGAUGCACAUUUUAGCCAUAGAGUUUUGAUCAACCGCAUAGGGUCUGUUGCGUCAGAACACCUGUGGGUAUUUUAUCUGCGUCGUUAUAGAAAUCAACGUCGUGAAGAUUGUCUUCAGGAACAGUGUUUAUUCGAAACUUAUUUUUUUGAUAUCGAGGGACAACUAAAGGCAGACUUGAAUAUGGUGAAGAAGUGUGGGGCUCGUUUGGUGUACGAGCAAGAUUUGAAAGAACUCAACCAAAAACUACUGAAACGAACACGCGAAUAUCGUGACAAGGCAGCUCCAAGUGGACCUGGAAGUGUUAGCUUCAACGACACAGAAAAAAUUUGCAAAAGGCGUUGUAACUAGUCACCAUGUCACAAAAAAUGCAAGUAACCAUCGAUUUAUCACAUUAGCUUAAUUGUCAUCAAAAUUAUUUUUUGUUUCGACAUCUUAGUUAAUGUAAUCAAUCUCUCGAGCUAUAUAUUAAGAUGGCUAUAUUUACUGAAAUGCAGAGUGGAUAAGAAUGUUGAUGUAUAAACACUUUUGCAGAUUACUUGGGCAUUAAGAAGAUUGAUUAACAAUCUGAUCAUCUUGCCCAAUGCAGCAAGUGGGUACCUUGGAAACGCGCUACGCCAUGGGGGCUGCUCUGUCAGUCCUGAUCUUAAGGUUCAUUUUCUGAUGAAGCCAUUAGCGUUAACAUGUACACCAAGGGUUGAAUUCAAAUUUCUGUACUCUGGCAGAAAUUGAUUUGUUUCUGUCUGAUUUUGUAACUAAUGCAAACUUGUAGUCCAGAAACAGAAACGUUGCUAAGGAAACAACACUUUUUGCUCAACAACUUUGGUUUGAUUAAAACUUGGCUUUGGUGAUGCAAAAAAUAAGCAUUGAGAGUAUUUUUCCUGAGAUCAUUGGAAAGGUUGUUGUAAAACUUAGAACAGAAAAUCAUACUAAUUUUUUUAAAACCCUUUUUACACGGUAGUUUUGAAGUUUAAACUUUAAAACAGCAAAUCAUAAUCAAAGUAUACACAGAAGCCUCCACGAUAUUAAGUUUUCACCCAAGUAUACACAGAAGCCUCCAGUUGAAUGGCGUGUGUCUAGGUUCUCUACAUAAUCACAAUCAAAGCGAAAAAAAUUCACAAAUGACUAGCAAAGAGAGGAAAACUUCCAGGAGUAGUCUGAAAAUAGUUUUCUUCUUUUCCGUUAACAAGUCCGAACAUACUUUUAUUUGCAAAGCAGAUAUGUCAAAACUGGAACAAUAGAUGAAAAUAAGGGCAAUGAAGGAAAACAUUCAACACAGGAAAAGACCAAAAUCUAAGAAUGAAGUAACUUAAAAUUGCCAUAAAUUACAAAGAAAAGUAUAACACUAAAGAGCUACAUUAGAUAUGUUAUAUAAAUUUUGGAUGGAUCAGGCAUUCUCUGUAUCCUUGAAUACUUCUCAGGUGUUCUGCUGCUUGCUUUUAUAUUGCCAUUCACAAUAUGGAAAGCAAGGAAUUAAAUCACGUGUGCUGUUGUGCAAAAAUUAAGGCAAGGCAAACUAUGGAUUGACAAUUAGUGGUUUUAUAUUACCAUUCACAAUAUGAACAGCCAGUACCAUGCAAAGUUCCGUCCCCACCCCCCUAAGGUCCAUUGGACAAAUGGCUACACCAAGGGCGUAACCGUAUCCCCAUAUAUACUUGGCUAAAGAAUAUGGUUUUAUAUUUAAAGGUUGCAAACACCCGCCCUAACUGAUGCCUGACCUCAUUAGCAGUAGGCCAUUUGUUAUCACUAACCUCCAAUGUCAAUUCAAAACAGCCACCAUUUUUGUAGUUCCAAUCUUGCAUGCCUCCAUUUAUAGGGUACCUACAACAGGUGUCUUAAGAAACAAUAGAUGAAUAUCAAACAGAAGGAAAAUAUACCUAUAAUAAGUUGUAAUGUUUCAAGCCAUCAUACUAGAAAGCUCGAUUCGUAAUCCCUCCCUCAAAUUCCUUGCGCAAUGACAUAUUGUAGUGAGAGCAAAAGACAAGAGCAUAUGUGCAAAAUAAAAAUUAAUAAGCGUUAGCAUAAAUUCUGGGAUAUUGUUAUUUAGAACUUACACAUAUUGUUAGGCACCAUCCGAAAAUCUAUAAUCAUAUUAGAAGUAAUCGGCAAUGUUCAUAACAUUACAGUAACACACUUUAAGACGUACUAUUGACAUCACCAUGCUUGUUUCACACUAUAAAAGAAACAUUUAAAAACCUGAACACAUUGGGCAUCAUAGGUAAAAUUAAAUAAUGAUCAAAACCUACACUCUCACUGAGGCCAACGUACAAAAGAAACAUUCAACUCUCUUGCAAAAUUCUCUGAAAGAAACAUUGGGCAUCAUAGGUAUAAAUGAAACAUUCAACUCUCUUGCAAAAUUCUCUAAAUUCUCCAAGCACUUUUCCCUCAAAAUUCUAACUUUGGCAUCAGAGGCUCUUCGGCCAAACCCCCCCCUAACUUCAUCGUGAACGCAUAAGGCUAUUGGCCUUGACCUAAGAUGUUAUUUGUUUUGUAGGUACAAUUUUGUCCAAGAACAAGGAGGAAGAAAUUUGCAUCCACAAAUUGGUGCUUUAAUUGAGAGCUGAGUCACACACUCGUAGAAGACUCUCGCAUCUAAGGUUUUUUGUUUUCUUGUUCAUUUGUAGAUUUUUCGUACAUUCUUAUUCUUAGAAUUUUUAUUUCUAAAGAUUCUUUGGUAAAACGUAAAAGAAAAGUACAAUGGCAAGGGACUCGGAAACCUCGAAGAACGAAACUUUCUAUGUUCAAAGAUCUGGAUCAAAUGAUGGAGGACGAGAUGUAAACCCACCACGACGAUCCACAAGGCACCCAGCAUAUUUUAAAAAAAAUGCUCAAACUAUCACUUGAAAUUGCAUGAACGAGUAACAAUCGAUUUACAUUCUGGGGAAUGGAAAAGGAACAAAAUAAAGUUUUCAAGUAGCACACAGAAUACAAAAAUACUACACUGUCAGUGUAUGUACACACUCAAUAAAUUGAAAUCGGCGUAGUAUGCAAAACUUUUUCGACAAAAAGUGAAAUUCAUGACUUCAGUUUUCGACAGUAAACGCGAAAUAUGGCAGGUGGAAAAUGAAAGACUAACAAUAAAACAAAAUAUUAAUAAUAUAUUAUUAGUUGCAGUCGAAUUCAGAAACAAUGAACUUUUUAAGGAAGAAGAGGGAAAUGAAAAUAUCCAAUUGCACGUGAUUUUUCGGCAUGUACUUAUAAAUUAUAAUCUUUGUCAUAUUACAGCUUCUCAGUUUCAUUAUAUAUUUCUUGUGGUCAUAAGUGGCUCGUAGCAAUUUCCCUUAUUUCUUUCCACACAAGAUCAGAGAAAAAGUAACAAAAAAUUGUGACUAAAACUGCCCUCAAAACACAUACAAUUGAUAGAGUCUGUCCUUUCUCAGGGACAAGUAACAUAAUUGAACUAGCGGAAUGAAUAAAACUUUUCUAAAGAGUGAAGAUGGAUAUUCUCCAACACCAGAAUCAACUCAAUUCGGUGGUAAACAGGUAUUGCACCCUUCUGGAUUCAAAGGUGCAAUAAGCUAGAAGCUAUAUCGCACUUUUUUAACUUCCACUAAUAAGCAAUCAAUGUAAUUAAGUUUCUGACCCUUAUACUGCGUUAUUGUUGCAAAAAGAUUUCAGCUACUGGUGCCUGAAUCCUUAUUACACAGCUCUAUGGUAAGUUUCAAGCAGCUGCAAGGACUAAUUUGUGCUAAUCUUGAAGGAAUCAAAGCAGGUUCCUGUUCUUUUGAAUCAUAACUUUUUCUGGGUUAUGGAACAAAUAUAAUUUCUACGUUAUUAUUAUUUACAGAAGGGAGGGGGGACGCUAACGCAUUUUCCUUCAAAAAUCCUGCCAUGUUUCAAAAAAUUGAUUGUAUACAGGAAGGAUUAAAAUUUCAGGAUUCAAAAGUUUCUACCAAAUGGCGGCUUGGAUAUAAUUUGGAUAAAUUAAUAUUAAAAAAUAAGAUUGUUUUGUUUAUGCUUUUGUAUGUAACAGAACAUUCACCUUAAAUGCAGCUUCAGGCUCUUCCACCCCGGGCUUAGCAGAAAUUGCUACUACCCACUACAAGCAAUAAUACAUCAAACAUUACCAACUUCAUAAGAUGUGUGUCAAGAUGUUAUUCUAAUAAAUAAAACUCUUCCCAAUACUGAUAAUCCAUUCGAGAAAUCCCUCAACAGGAGAAUAAAAAGAAUAAAUCAGCAUAAUCAUCAUGAGAUGCCUAAACAAAAUCCUACAAUUAAAACCUGUAUUUAUCCAGCUAAAACUACCACUAACAAAUAUGAUUGUUUUAUUUCGACUAACAAGUGGUAAAAUUAUAAUCUGGCAAAUGUUAAAAAUGCACAAGCCCAAGUAAUCACCUGUAAGCCGUAGAAAUGUUACUGCAUCUUUGGCCGAACGCCUUAAUGGCCUGUCCCAGGUCAGAGUUAGUCAUGUACCCCUGAGCUACAUCAACACUGUGUCACCAAUUUUUUUCACAUUUUCAGUAAACACAUAAUUAUAUCAAAUUAGACUAUAUAAUUCUUGUUAAGCUGCUAAGCUUCAACUUUAGUGAUAAAUACCGCGUCUGAGACUCCUUAUCUUCAAACAAUUGCCUGCCGGAACCAGCGCGAGGACCAAAUUCGAAACCUAUCAACAUUUAAUUUACAAUUAGCUAAAUUCUUAAUGCUUAAAGAUUUAGUUUCCUUUUCUAGUAGCGCUAAUCCACCUAAAAUGUAAAGAAUUUAAGGAAGCAAUAGGCAUGAUAAUCUAUCUGAUCAUAAUUAACUACCGUUUGGUAGCUGAAAUAUCAAAGGAAAAUUUUUCAAUUUACUUCUUGUUCUUGUAAUCUCAGUUUUUCAACUCCCAAAGAACUAAACGCACACACAUGAAUAUAGAAUGUAUUCAAAUAUGUAUGUGUGUGUGUGUGUGUGUGUGUGUGUGUGUGUGUAUGACAGAUGAGGAGACGGGGACCUGGAGGGUAGGAACUGUGAAGGCCGCCUCUAGCGGUGGCAGGACGAAGAAAAGAGGAGAAGCCUGAGAGAGAGGAAGAGGAUGGAAAGAGCAAGCUUCAUGAUGUGAUCUUUGGAUUGACGAUGGUGGCGAUGGAGCUCCAGAAUCGGAUUCAGGAAGCCAAGGAGUAAAAGAAGAUGAAAACGUAACGACGAAGAUUGGAGACGCGGGAUCUCGCGGGAAAAUGGGCUGCAAAUUCCGUUGGAAGCGAAGUAACGGGGACUUGGAGUUCGAGAUAUGGGUUGCAAAUGGAUCUCGGCCCAUUUUUCAAACAGCCCGAACCAAACUAAAUUCUAUAGGUUGAUUUUUAUUUUAUUUUUUAAUAAACAACAAUAUUUUACAUUAUAGGGCUUGAGUUAAAUAAAAGAUAAAUAUCACUAACUAUAUUGGUUUGGUAUUGAAAAAAUUGAUUUUGGAAGUAGUUGUCUAUUUCGAAUGUAAUUAUGUAAAUUUUCUCUUGUAUUUACUAAUUCGUAAGGAAUUGAAAAAAUGUUAACUUUCUUUAAUAUUUGUUAUCAAAUAUCAAAAUAUCAGGAAGCAUAUCGACUAGGACGGCUAGUUGAGCCGAUUCCCUUCUCUUACAUUUUCAUACUUCUAAGUUCUCUCAUUCCUUCAUUUUCUUAUUCCUAAUAAGUAAACAUUGAAUUAAUUGAUAUGGAUCCAAUGUUUUAAUGUUUUAAUGUUUCAAAUACUACUUAGGAUUCAGAUUUCAUACAAAAAUCGAAAACCCUUAUCAAUUGCAUCUGACUGGGAACAAAUUUGGUGAGCCCUUGAGUCAGGGCUACACUAGAUUAAAAUAGGGCUGGUUAAAAAAUUCGAAAAUCGAAAAAAACCGAAUCGAUACAAAACCGAACUAAAUAGAAAUUGGUUAGUUUGGUUUUAGCUUUAUGGUUCAAAAACCGAACCGAACUAAAGUACCACUUCAAACGAUGUAGUUUUUGUAAUUUUGUCUUUUACAGGAGGACAAUGCAGUAACACUCAAAACGAUGUAGUUGUUGUGUAUAUAUACACUUGUAUAAACAAAUUGUUGUGCUUUUAUAUAGAUACAUUAUCAUUAACAUAAUUCACUCAAUACAAAUAUAUCAAAGAUCAUAUUGUGGCUCAUACUUUUCAUCGUACAUACCGUCACUGUAUUAUUUAUUAACGGGUGUCUGAUUGAGUUUGAGAAAAUUAUCACAUUAACAAAGUGAUGUCUUUAAUUUAUUUAUGUGUUGUGAUUGACAGUAAAGAAGAGUUCUUUUGUAGAACCAUAUGAUCCAAUUAUUUUUCUGCCUAUUAUGGGCAGAAACGGGUAAUUGAUCAUUUUAGCCUCAAUUGUUUUGGUAGAGUUUAAUUGAUAUUGUUGUAGUCAGUGUCUUUGGAGAAACAUGUUUCAUGCACUGCAGACUGGUUCCUAAAGGGUGCGUUUGGUACGUGGGACGGGACGGGACGGAACGGGACGAGGCGUUCCGUCCCGCGUUUGGUGCGCCAAAAAUGGGUGGAACGGGCUGUUCCACGGGACAGAUUUUGAGUGUUUUUGCGUUCCACCUCCCCCCCUGGAACGGGUUUGUUCCACGUUUGUGGAACACAAUGUUUUACCAUUUUAAGACAAAUAUACCCCAUGUCUUUUUCAAAAAUUACACCUUCGUUCCGUCCCGUCCCGUCCCGUCCCGUUCCGUUCCGUUCUGUCUGCGUACCAAACGCACCCAAAAUGAUGAGAAAAGUUUUAUAGUGGGUGACAUAAUUAUCUUCCUCUUGAAAAAAACAGAGACAUGAAAUCCUUUCUCAGAAGAAAGAUAACAUGUCCCAACAAGGAAUGGAAAUAUGCCAUGGUCGGUCUGCCACUUUUUUGGUGGAAAAUAAUUGUCCUUCAACUUCGGUUUUUCUCUUGAACGAGUAUUGGGAAGUGGACAGCUCUUGUAUGGAGAUUUCCCUGUUGCUUCUUUCAGACGGAUUUACCUUGCACCAAAACGUUAGGUGUGACUCAAAUUUACCUCCGUGUUUUAACAUUGUGACAUGAUAACACGUAAUAGAUUAAUUACACCAUUGUCUUAAUGCUCACAUUUCACAUAAAGAAAAAAGAUUGAGUGACGUUUAACCAUAACUUCUCUUUCUUUUUUUGGACCAUUACCAAUUGUUUUUUAUACGAAAUUUUUACGAUACUUGAGAAUAUGAGAUACGCUGAAUAUUUUAACAAUUGAAUCUUUGUUUAGAAAUACAAAUACCAAAAUAUAACAGAUAUAACACCCUACAAACCACCCUAAAUUUUUUAUUCUUUUACUCUUAGUUUAGGUCAUCCAAACGAAAAAGGAUCCCUCUAGAUCCAUUACGUGGGGAUCUCAGGAAUCUUCAUAAUUCAGCUAUUCAUAGUAUAUUGUAUAGUAAAAAAUUAUUUAAUUUUUAUUAUUUUAAAUUAAACUUAAAUAACAUCGGAUGAAAAAUGAUCGUAAGAUAAACGAUAAUGAUUGAAAUGUGAGAAUAAUAGAUCCGGAAAUCCUUUUCCCAUCCUAACAAUCAUAUUAACUUUUUUUGUUUUUUGUUAUAAAAAUAAUUCAUUAGCUGACACUAUGACCCACCCUAGACUGUCUGGUCACCACCAUCACCACUACUACCAACAGAUGAACUCGGGCUGUCCAAGUGUCCAUCUUUGUCUGUUUUUUAGGAACCGAAAGGCAUAGGCUGCCAUUCUUUGUCUCUGUGCUGAAUCUGCUGAUGGGAACCAAAAGAAAACCAUCCACUGCCUUGUACAUUGGUAACAAACGAAUUAACGGACAAUUAAAGAGACAUGAAAAUAUAUUAUACAGAUGUGCUAUCCAUACACAUUUUUUUACUUUUUUCGCAUUUUUUAUUAAUUUAUGUCAUUGAUCUUCUUUAAUUCAUCUAAUCCGACGAUCGAAAAUUAAAAAGAUACGAGAGAAAUAAAAAAAGAUGUGUGAAUAUCACAUCCAAAAGCCUCGGCAUUGAUCUGCUAUCUUUUUACUUGUUCAUUCAAUUAUUGUUUCAUGUUUGCAGUACCUGUUUACAUCAACUACCUUUUUUCGAUGGCAUUAAGCACCCAAAGAGCCUCGACAUCCUGUGUUUUGAAUGAAUCAGCUCCUCGAUGGAAGUAUGAUGUGCUUUUGAGUUUCAGGGGUGUAGACACCCGCAAGGGUUUUGUAUCCCAUUUAUACCAUGAAUUGUGCAAUUGCCAAGGAAUUACGACUUUCAUGGACGAUCGAGAGCUUGAAGGAGGAACAAGUAUUCCUUCUGAAAGUUCUAGGAUGGGUACUAGUUUAACCUAGAGGGGGUGAAUAGGUUCCAAUUUAAAAAUCCAAUUCAAUUUUCAAUUUAAUUUUCAGUUCUCAAAUUAAAUCCAUAUUCAUAUCACAUAUCAAACUAUCAUACUCAUAUGAAAUUAAAACGAUAAAUAAAAAGUACACACAUGAUGUAGGAUUUUACGAGGCAAAACCCACCACUAGGAAAAUCCUCGGGCUACCAAGCCAGGAAGCACUAAGAAAGAAAGAAUACAUAAAGACUUACAAAACUCAUCAACUAGACACUCAUACCAGUUGGCAGCUUUGUCUCCGCGCUUUGCUACUCGAUCUUUCUUCAGUCUUCGAGUUGAAGUGGCACGACACUAACGCAGCCGUCAAUCACCUUUCCCUCGAACUUUGCAGGAUGCUAACUCGAUCAUGCAGAAUGUUUAUAUGAUGAAGUGUUUGUUUGAAAAACAAUCAAUUACGAAAAUCACAAGGCACAUUUCCAUAAUUGACAUUCAAUAAAAAACCAAAUGAAAAUCAGCAUGAAAAUAAUAUUUUUCUCUUUAAAAACACAUGCUAUUGAAACCACAAGACAGCAGCAAUAUCAAAAAUAUUUUUUUUCCUUAUUCCCAAAAACGCCAAGCUGCUGCCUAUCUUUUGUUUGUCAAAGAACGCCCAAAUAUAUGCAUGUGUGGCUGCCUUUUAAACAAAACAAAACCCUAACCUCCUGUAUACCUCACGGCACCUCACCAAUUAAAUUGAUAAGGAUGGAAAACCAUUUAGAUAACUCCCAUGCAAUCAGAUUAUUUUGAAAUCAUGUUUUAAUAAUUAAUGUAGAAAGGAUAAGUCAUUCUAAAGAGAUAAAACCCACAAAGGGUAAGAGUCCUAACCCAAAUACAAUAACAUGAGAUAUCAGAUGAAUGUAGUUGGAUGCAUGCAUGCAAACGUACCUGGAUGAGUAUCGUGUUUUAGUAACAUCUUCGCAUUGAAAGUGUGAGAAACCUCCCUAGACUAAAACUAUUACAAUUGUAAAUAUGUAACAAGUCUAAGCUAUUACAGACUCAGGCAUUUUGUCAGGGAUUGCCAAUAUUACCCUAACAAUCUCCCCCUUUGGCAUUUCCUAGACAAAAUCCUCUAUCACAGUAUUACAGACAACUAAUAAACUUAACGACCAUGCAUAACAUUGAAGUCUGUAACCUGCACACACUCAAACAAGAAAACCUGUGACGUACAAAAGAUAUAUGCUGCUGUAAAUGAAAGCAUUUAUCUAUAAUAGCAAGCAACCAAAAACAACUAGGCUUUCGAAAUUCUACUUCUCCCCCUAAAUAUAGGCUUCCUACUUCUCCCCCUUUUUGUCUAGAAAGGUCAAAGGCCUUAGAGUUAACCAUCAGGUGCAGUCAGCGGAAGAUAAGUGGAACAAAACAAAAUGUGAUAAAAUAAAAGUGGGGACGAAAUUGGGAGGAAAAGAAUAUCAAAGUAAUGAUCAAAAGAAUAAACAUGGAAAGAAACGAACAUCUUUCAUAUUGUUAAGCUCCCCCUAAACAAAUGCUUUAAAAAAUAUAAUGAAAUGCAGCACGCAAAUGAUAUGAUAUAUAUAUAUAUAUAUAUAUAUAUAUAUAUGUAUAUAUAUAUAUAUAUAUUUUUUUUUUAAUUUUUUUUUUUAUUUUUAUGAGAAGCAUAUAAUUGUUCCAACAAGAAUGAAAGAGUGCAAAGACACAUGUAGUUAUGAAUCCUCAUUCACAAGCUAACAUUGUCCCUAAAAUAUAACAUGUAUGAGUGUAGUUGCAAGUAUAGCCGAAAGUUGAUACUACACAAAUGUAAUUAAGUCUUACAGGACCAACUUAACUUUAACCCUUAAGCUCACAAGAUAUACGCUCGAAUUUUCAUUCAAAGUGUUUGGGGGUAAGUGUAUACGCUCAAAAGAUCAUUACAUGAAUGUUCUACCAUAGGCUUGCAGAUUGAUCUCAUCUCCACACAUCAAAAAUUACCUUCUUUGGAUCAAGUAGGUCUUUGUGAAGGGUUGUAAUGCGGCUUCAGGUACUCGGUUAAAGAAAUGAAGGAUAUAGGAAACACAAAGUCUAAGAAACUAAUAGAGUAGUUGGAAAUGAAACCAAGAGAGAAAUAUAACAACGAACCAGGUAACUUAGCACUCAAUUGAGCGGUUGGAUUUAAGACAUGAACGACAUACAACCGCACAAUUCAUUUCAGAUGAUUCUUGCUCUUCAUUUAGACCAACACACUUGAUUUCUUAUAAUGCUGGCAGCUCACUUAUGAUUCAUAGUGACUUAUUUUCCUCUUUUCUUCUUUUGCUUUUCAUGUGUUGUUGGCUUUCUUCACAAAAAUUUUGCAUCUUCAACUUUUAAAAUAACAUUGAACUCUCUCCUUUGAAAAACGUACUCUACUAGCUUCUUAGUAGGGUAGGGAAUUUUUAAUGUAAGAGGCUAGGUAAGGAAAAUGUAGGUUUAAGAACAAAAGGCUUACAUAUAGGCUCAAAAGGGUUAACUGGGGGAAAACAUAUAAGGCACUGGCAUAUAUGGCAAUGAUGGUAAGUCCUAAUGCCUACUAUCGUCUCCAAAAUAGAAUAAUAUGUGAUACAAAGUUUUGAGAGGUCUCAAAGCAAGUUCUAGAGAAGCAAAACACAUAAGAUCACACACAUGAAAAAAAUAAGAGUGUAUGAAAAAUGCACACACUAUAUUUUAGGCACAAAAGCUCACAUGGGUGCGGGUUUUACUCAAGUUAAACAUGUUCAACUCAUUAACAUUGAUAUAUUAUCAACAAUAGGCUAUUGUCCACAACAGAGUCAAACAUAUCAUGCUAGGGUCAUGUUAUCAAGUGAACAAAGCUAGAAUUCAUAUGAAAUCAUACUUUUCCAUUUUUUCCUCAUACAUUUUUAAAAAUUUUUAUUUUUAUUUUUAUUUUUUAUUUUUAACAAGAAGAAGGACAAAAAAUGCAGUAUUUAUGCUAUAUGAACAUGCAAGCAUGCAUUAAUGAAAACAUUUGCAAAGAGAGAGCUUAGUCAAUAUAAACAACUUGAAAGUGGAGAUAAAUUGACAAGUACACCACUUUGAUUCUCUUUUCUUCUCCAAACUUGUCUUACUUUUGGAACUACCGUACUUGGAAUAGAUAUAAUUCUUGCAAUCCGAUUAAUCUCUUUCAAAUAAGUCACAAAUUGUUCCUUAAGAUUUUCUUUUUCAAAGUUCCUUGAAACUUUUUCUUGAGAAGAAUUUUUCUUUCUAAGCUUAUUGCACUUAGGCCGGAUGUGACCAGGGAUCCCACAAAAAUGACAUAUAGGAAUGAACUUCCUAGAUUGUUUGGGUUUAUUAGGAUUAAUUGAAGUCUUGGUAGGAUUUGACACAUUUGCAAAGAUUGUAGAUGUUUCAGAAGUAAGACCUACACCUUGAUCAGCACCUACUCUUGAGCUAGGAAUAUCAGAUGCUUUGACAAAUCUUGUGAUGGAAGAAGAACUAAUAGUCUUUUCAGACUCAAAUCCUAGACCUCUUUUAUCUCCAAAAUUCUUUCCAUAGCUAAGCAUCUUGUCAAUUUUUCCCGAACCUAUGCUUAAUUCCUGAACUUUGUUUUUCAUCUCAACCAAUUCAUCCUCAAGAGCUUUCUUAUUAGACGUGAGAGUGCUUAUUGUGGUUUGAAGAAUAUGUAUCUUCUCUAACAAUGACUCUCGCAGUUUCUCUCCAUUGUCCAACUGAGAUUGAUGCUCAACUUCAGCUUCUUUCUUUUCACUUUCUACAAGUGCAAGUUUCUUCUUCAAGUUAGAGUUAUCCUUCUUUACUUGCACACUGAUGUCAUAGAGAUCAGAAUAUUUUCUCAAGACUUCUUCCAAGUCAGGUUCUUCAACAAAUGAACCUUCUGUGUCAUAUCCAUCAACAGUUCCUAUAAACGCAAUCGUAUCCUUCUCAGAUUCCGACGUAGAUGCCUCCCCUGAAUCACUAUCGCUCCAAGUGACCUUCAUUGCCCUAUUCUUCUUCUCUUUUCUCUUGAUAGUGUUUGCACACUCAGAAGCAAUGUGUCCAUAGCCUUGACACUCAUGACAUUGAACCCUAUUGUUAGAACUCCUAUGUUCACUAGUUCUAGAUGAUCUAGAGGCUUUGUCAUGUGAGACAUCUAGAGAACGAAAGUUUUUUGAGUUCGAACCUGAGUUGGUUCGUUGCUCACGACCCUUGGAUUUUUGAGACUUGAGAAACCUUCUAAUUUGCAUGGUUAAUUCAACCAAUUCAUCUUCGGACAAGUCUUCAAUUGAGCCAUCACUUUCUUCUUCUUUGACAGCUUUGAGAGCAAUGCUUUUCAUCUUCUUAGAAUCAGGAAGCUCUAACUCGUACGUUUGCAGAGACCCAAUUAAUUGCUCAAGCUUGUAGGUGUUUAGAUCUUUCGAUUCCUCAAUCGCUGUCCUCUUAGCAUGAAACCUCAUAGGAAGUGAUCUUAAGAUCUUUUUCACAAUCCUAUGCUCAGGAAUACUGUCACCAAGAUUGUGACAGCCAUUGACAAUUACGCUAAGCUUAGCAUAAAAGUCAGAGAAACUUUCAUCAUCAGACAUUGUGAUAUUUUCGAAUUUUGUGAUGAGAUGUUGAAGUUUGGAUUCUUUAACAGUUGAGUUACCCUCAUGAGUAACUUCAAGAAUGUCCCAAGCUUCUUUUGCCGUUGUACACUUACUUAUGUAAUUGAAUUGUUCAGGCGAAACGGCUGUGAAUAAAGAAUUCAAAGCCCUUUGGUUAAAAGUGCUAGAGCUACGCUCAUCAUUGCUCCAUUCUUUCCUAGGCUUAAGCUUAGAUAUCGACACAGAGGAUUCUCCUUUAUCUUUAGUUUCUUCAAUCGUUGGAGGUUCCCAACCUUCUUCAACAGCAAGCCACACCUUGUCAUCUUGCGCCCAUAAAAACGAUUUCAUUUUUUACUUCCACGCAGCAUAGUUGUCACCAUCAAAAUGUGGUGGAUGAGAAACUGAACCCAUAGCACGAUUCAUCCUAGACUACCCACGGAUCUCACUAGGUAUUUUUAGUGACCUGCUCUGGUGCCAAUUGAAAGUUCUAGGAUGGGUACUAGUUUAACCUAGAGGGGGUGAAUAGGUUCCAAUUUAAAAAUCCAAUUCAAUUUUCAAUUUAAUUUUCAGUUCUCAAAUUAAAUCCAUAUUCAUAUCACAUAUCAAACUAUCAUACUCAUAUGGAAUUAAAACGAUAAAUAAAAAGUACACACAUGAUGUAGGAUUUUACGAGGCAAAACCCACCACUGGGAAAAUCCUCGGGCUACCAAGCCAGGAAGCACUAAGAAAGAAAGAAUACAUAAAGACUUACAAAACUCAUCAACUAGACACUCAUACCAGUUGGCAGCUUUGUCUCCGCGCUUUGCUACUCGAUCUUUCUUCAGUCUUCGAGUUGAAGUGGCACGACACUAACGCAGCCGUCAAUCACCUUUCCCUCAAACUUUGCAGGAUGCUAACUCGAUCAUGCAGAAUGUUUAUAUGAUGAAGUGUUUGUUUGAAAAACAAUCAAUUACGAAAAUCACAAGGCACAUUUCCAUAAUUGACAUUCAAUAAAAAACCAAAUGAAAAUCAGCAUGAAAAUAAUAUUUUCUCUUUAAAAACACAUGCUAUUGAAACCACAAGACAGCAGCAAUAUCAAAAAUAUUUUUUUCCUUAUUCCCAAAAACGCCAAGCUGCUGCCUAUCUUUUGUUUGUCAAAGAACGCCCAAAUAUAUGCAUGUGUGGCUGCCUUUUAAACAAAACAAAACCCUAACCUCCUGUAUACCUCACGGCACCUCACCAAUUAAAUUGAUAAGGAUGGAAAACCAUUUAGAUAACUCCCAUGCAAUCAGAUUAUUUUGAAAUCAUGUUUUAAUAAUUAAUGUAGAAAGGAUAAGUCAUUCUAAAGAGAUAAAACCCACAAAGGGUAAGAGUCCUAACCCAAAUACAAUAACAUGAGAUAUCAGAUGAAUGUAGUUGGAUGCAUGCAUGCAAACGUACCUGGAUGAGUAUCGUGUUUUAGUAACAUCUUCGCAUUGAAAGUGUGAGAAACCUCCCUAGACUAAAACUAUUACAAUUGUAAAUAUGUAACAAGUCUAAGCUAUUACAGACUCAGGCAUUUUGUCAGGGAUUGCCAAUAUUACCCUAACACCUUCUGAGCUCCCAAGAGCGAUCGAAGAAUCGCAAAUUGCAAUCGUCGUUCUCUCACCAGACUAUGCUUCUUCCAAAUGGUGCUUGAAGGAACUUACAACCAUCCUUAAGCGCAUGGAAGCCAGGAACUCUAUUCUACCGGUCUUUUAUGAGACAGAUCCAUCUGACGUUGGAAAUCAGAAGGGGUCUUUUGCCAAAGCCUUCGAUGAGCAUGAAGAAAAGUUCAUUAGUACCGAAGACAAGAUGAAGGUGACCCAGUGGAGAGAGGCUCUGAAAAAAGUAUCCAAAAUUUCUGGGUGGCAUUCUAAGGAAUCUAAGUAAGCAUGAACAACUUUAAUUUCCCAUGUCUUAGUAGAGUCAAAAUUGAAUGCUUCGUUUAUGUUUUUUUGAUUGGUUAUUUCAUACCAUGUAGGAGUGAAAGUGAGAUUAUACAACAACUCGUCAAAAGUGUGUGGAAGAAAGUGCAAGCUACAUUCCCGUUGUUAGAUCCCUCACAGGAAUUAGUUGGGGUUAAUUUUGGGCUUGAGCAACUAAGUUCGUUGUUAGCUCAUGAUGUCAAUGAUGUUCGCUUUAUAGGGAUAACGGGGAUGGGUGGCAUAGGUAAGACCACCCUUGCUAAGCUUGUGUAUGAUAGAAUCUUUCAUCAUUUUGAAGUUCCCUGCUUUCUUGGCAACAUUAGAGAGGUUUCUAACGUUGAUCUUCAAAAAAGACUUUUGCACCCUAUGUUGAAGGAAAAGAUUGAAGAAAUUUGGGAUGAAGAGCGCGGAAUCAUUUUCAUUAAAAAGUGCUUACGCAACAAAAAGGUUCUUCUUGUACUCGAUGAUGUGGAUCACAUAAACCAGCUACAAGUACUAGCUGGAAAGGAAGAUUGGUUUGGCAUGGAAAGUCGAAUUAUCAUUACAACUAGAAAUGAACGUCUGCUAGUCCAGCAUGACGUAACAUUAUGUCAUAAUGUCAAAGUGUUGGAUGAAGGCGCAGCUCUUGAACUGUUUAGCCUACAUGCCUUUAAGAAAAAUCUGCCUGAGGAUGGGUUUUGGGAACUAUCAACAUAUUUCAUGAAUUAUGCUGGAGGCCUUCCAUUAGCUCUUGAAACUUUGGGGUCGGCAUUGUUUAAGAGAAGGCUAGACACUUGGAAUAGUGUGUGGGAUAAUCUGUCAAAAAUUCCUAAUCCAACAAUUUUUUAUAAACUUAAAAUAAGUUAUGAUGGACUAGAAGAGUGGGAGAAGAGAAUUUUUCUCGAUGUUGCAUGUUUUCACAAAGGGAAGUACACAAAGCGAGUAAUUGAAAUGCUAGAUGAUUCUUUUGGAUUAUCUAGUAGUAUUAUGAUAGAUGUACUAAUUGAGAGAUCUCUCAUCUAUCAAGAUCAUGAAAAAUGCAUAUGGAUGCAUGAUUUGAUUCAAGAAAUGGCAUGGACAGUUAUUGCUCACGAGUCUAAAGAGCCUGGUCAACGCAGUAGGUUGUGGCUUUACAAUGAUAUUUAUCAUGUAUUCACGACGAAUACGGUAAGAAGUUAAAUACUCAGUUUAGAAGAAGAUAUGAUAUCUUUUGACACUAUAUUAUUAUAUAAAAUUAAUUCGUCCUUUUUUUCCUUAAUUGUUAGGGAACAAGAGCAAUUGAAGCCGUAUCCUUACGCCUGCUCAAAGUAGAAGAGGUGCGCCAGUGGAAUUGCAAAGCCUUCUCUAAGAUGGAUGGACUGAGGUUUUUGGAAUUCGAUAAUUUGAUCUUUUCUUCAGGUCCCAAAUUUCUUCCAUGUUCCUUGAGAAUUAUAAAUUGGAGUUGGUAUCCUUCUAAUUUUCUUCCAACUAGCUUUCGCCCGCACUUGCUUGCUCAACUAAAGAUGUGUAAUAGCAAUCUUGUUCGUGUUUGGGAGGGAAAAGUGGUAAGAGUAGUUAUGAACAAAAGAUAAUACUGGUUACUCACUAGUCAAUACUCAAUUUUUGAUUUUGUCCAAUGAUAUUUUAACACAUUAUUUUAAAAAGUAAUAGGCGUGUUAUUUAAUUUUUCUUGAGUUUUAAAAAUAAGGAACGCUUGACAUUUUUUUAUUGUACAAUCUCGAAGGUCCUAAUUUUUUUCAAUAUUCAUUGAGAAUAAAUGCUAUUUAAUUUACAAAAUAAUCAUAUAUUUAUUUAUUUAUUAUUUUGAAUAAACUUUAAGGUUGUGGAAGUUAAGUAUAUGAUCUGAACGUUAUCGGUGGUGUUGUAUAGGACUUGCCCAACUUGAAAUAUAUCGAUCUUAGCUACUCCAAUAAAUUGAAGAGUACCCCAGAUUUCAAUGGUAUUCCAAAUCUUGAGGAGUUGAUUCUUUGGAAUUGUAAGAAUUUAGUUGAGAUUCACCCGUCUAUUGCAGUUCUCAAAAGGCUUAAACAUUUGCUUCUUAAUGGCUGUGAAAGCAUUAAUAGCCUCCCAAGUGAGGUUGAAAUGGAUUCUCUUGAGACUUUCGAUCUUGAUGGCUGCUCAAAUGUGAAAAAGAUUCCAGAAUUUGGGGAGCAGAUGAAGAAUGUAUUGCGGAUUCACUUAGAUGGGACUACGAUCGAGAAACAAAUGAACAUCUGGUUGGCCUCAAGGAAUUGCAUGUAAGGAAUUGCAAAAAUCUCUUGAACCUUCCAAGGGUGAUUUGUAAUUUGAAGUCUCUUGGAUAUCUCAGUGCGAGUGGAUGCUUAAAGAUUGACAAACUCCCAGGAGACAUGGAUCACUUAGAGGCGUUUUGCUGGGGACCCACUAUGACAGAGCCGCUUGUGAGCAUGAAAAAUCUCAAACGUCUAGUAUUUAAGACAAAUUUUGACAUAGCCACUUGUGGAUCGGAUGGUAAAGCAAGGGAUGGGUGGGUCCUUUGCCGCUUAUUUGGACUUGAAAAGAGUCGCCCUGAUCCUCCUUUUUGUUGGGGUUUGGUGUUAUCUUCUCUAAAUCGUUUAUGCUCUUUGACAGAGUUAUCUCUAGCGAAUUGUAAUCUUCGGGAGGGGGAUAUCCCCGAUGAUAUUGGCUGCUUGUCCUUACUGGGAGUAUUGUAUCUUAGUAGAAAUAAUUUCAUCAGUCUACCUCAAAGCUUUAGACACCUUUCUAAAGUUUUCAGUCUUGAUCUGGAGGGGUGGAAAAGCCUUCAAAAAUUGCCACCUCUUCCAUCAAACAGAGGAUUAAGAGUAAAUCUGGACAAUUGCACUUCCUUACAAAGGUUGUCAGGUCCAUCCAGUUUUUAUGGUGAUUAUGUCACUUGCCGGAAUUGCAUUGCAUUGGUUCAAGAUGAAGACUUGAUUAAUAAGAUUCCAAAAUUUGUCAUUCAGGUACUCUCUCUCUCUCUCGCUCUCUCUCUCUCCUUCUCUCUCUCUCUCUCUAAAUAAUUGAUCUUUCUUCUGCUACAGAGAUUGAAAAUUGUAAUCCCUGGAAGUGAAAUUCCAAAGUGGUUCAAUAAUCAGAAUGUGGGACAUUCAAUAAAUGUGGAGCUUCCUCCACCAUCAUGUACCAACUGGCUUGGGAUUGCCUUCUGUGUUGUUUUUCAAGACCUUAAGAAAAACUUGGCAAAUCCAGCUGCCCUUCGUCAUUAUGAUAGAUUCGAAAUUUGGUAUUUAGAUGCACAUUUUAGCCAUAGAGUUUUGAUCAACCGCAUAGGGUCUGUUGUGUCAGAACACCUUUGCCUAUUUUAUCUGCGUCGUUAUAGAAAUCAACGUCGUGAAAAUUGUCUUCAGGAACAGUGUUUAUUCGAAACUUAUUUUUUUGAUAUCAAGGGACAACUAAAGGCAGACUUGAAUAUGGUGAAGAAGUGUGGGGCUCGUUUGGUGUACGAGCAAGAUUUGAAAGAACUCAACCAAAAACUACUGAAACAAACAUAGCAUAUAUCAUGACAAGGCAGCUCCAAGUGGACCUGGAAGUGCUAGCUUCAACAAUACAGAAAAAAUUCGCAAAAGGCGUUGUAACUAGUCGCCAUGUCACAAAAAUGCAAGUAAGUAACCAUCGAUUUAUCACAUUAGCUUAAUUGUCAUCAAAAUUAUUUUUUGUUUCGAUAUCUUAGUCAAUGUAAUCAAUCUUUCGAGCUAUAUAUUAAGAUGGCUAUAUUUACUGAAAGGCAAAGUGGAUAAGAAUGUUGAUGUAUAAACACUUUUGCAGAUUACUUGGGCAUUAAGAAGAUUGAUUAACAAUCUGAUCAUCUUGCCCAAUGCAGCAAGUGGGUACCUUGGAAACUCGCGACGCCAUUAGCGUUAACAUGUACACUAGGGGUUGAAUUCAAAUUUCUGUACUCUGGCAGAAAUUGAUUUGUUUCUGUCUGAUUUUGCAACUAAUGCAAACUAGUAGUCCAGAAACAGAAACGUUGCUAAGGAAACAACACUUUUUGCUCAACAACUUUGGUUUGAUUAGAACAGAAAUAAGCAUUGAGACUAUUUUUCCGGAGAUCAUUGGAAAGGUUGUUGUAAAACUUAGAACUAACAGACUUCUGUUGAAAUAAGGAUGAAUCACACAGAUAACAAACCCGAGAGUAUGAUUGGAAACUAGAAGUCUGACUUGAUCUUGUGACACCAGCAGUUUAAAUCAAGAUGAAGAUAACCCUUCGUGAACAAAUCAGCAAUUUGAUCUUGUGAACAAAUAAAAUUCACUAGUAGCUCACCUCUAAUCACCUUCUCCCUGACAUAAUGAUAAUCAACUUCUAAGUGCUUGGUUCUUGAGUGGAAAACUGGAUUGGAUGCUGAGGCAAUGGAAGACAAAUGAUCACACCAAAUCUGUUAUCUUAGAAGAUUCUAAUGUACGUCCCUAAAACACGAACAUAACCAAGGCAACUCAGCGGCAGUGUAUGCAAGCUGCCUAUAUUCAGCUUCAGUGCAAGACCUGGAAACUGUUGGACUUUCCUGUUAUGCAGUGAUGUAUUUAGAAAUGUGCAUAAGAAGAAGAAGUUUUUAGAGAGAAAAUGAAAAGACAGAGAGAGUUCUCAAAAAUCUCAGAGAGAGCCAAAGAAUGCUCUGCUGCAUAUAUUCCUUCUUUCCUCAACAUUUACAUGACUACUAGGGAGAGAGAAGCUACGUGAGCCUAUGAGCUCAUCAUACCAUUCAUUACAAGACCCUAUGAGAUCUUGACACAUGUUUACAUCCAAGCCUAGCACAAUAUCAUCUAAUCUCAGCCCUUGAUCACUAACUGAUUUAUUUACACUUGCUAAAGUAAGGAAAAUACAGUUUAGACCUUAAUCAACUAACACUCCCUUCUAAGGUCUUAACUGAGAUUACCCCAAGCUUAUCCUUCAAAGCACAGAAUCUGUCUUUAGCAAGUGCUUUGGUGAAAAUGUCAGCUAGUUGCUCCUCACUUUUGCAGUAUUGCAGGUCAAUUGUUCCUUCUUGAAUUGCAUCUCUGAUGAAAUGAAACUUCCUCUUGAUAUGUUUAGACCUCUGAUGGAAUACCGGAUUCUUUGACAUUGCAAUUGCUGAUGUGUUAUCACACAUCAAAGGAGUUGGUUCGAUCAAUUCUUCACCAAAAUCAUGCAGCACAAAUCUCAGCCAUGUAGCUUGAGUGGUGGCUUUUGAGGCACUCAUAUACUCGGCUUCAGCAGUUGAGAGUGCAACACUCUGUUGCUUUACAGAAGCCCAAGAAAAUGCACCACUGCCAAAGCUGAAAGCAUACCCUGAUGUGGACUUCAUGUCAUCUUCAUCUCCACUCCAAUAACUGUCACAAAAUCCUAUGAGUAGAGCUGCAUUUCCCUUUUCAUACUUAAUUCCAUAGUCAACAGUUCCUUGCACAUAUCUGAGGAUCCUCCUUGCAGUGCCAAGAUGUUUGAUGGAAGGACAGUGCAUGUACCUGGCAAGUACACAUGCUGAGUACAAGAUAUCAGGCCUUGUUGCAGUUAAGUAUAGAAGGCUGCCAACAAUUUUCCUAUACAAUUCUUCAUCUGCAGCUUCACUCCCAUCACCUUUCCUUAGCUUAUCCGUGGGAGGUAAAGGUAUUGAGACAGACUUGCAGCUCUUCAAACCAAACUUGUCCAGUAAACUCAGUGCAUACUUUUUCUGGUGAAUAAAGAUACUCCCUUCUUGUUGGAUUACUCCAAUUCCAAGAAAAUGAUGUAACAAGCCUAAGUCAGACAUCUCAUACUUGUUCAUCAUAUCACAUUUGAAAUCUUCAAUCAUUUCUAAACAGCUUCCAGUAUAAACUAUGUCAUCCACAUAUAUAGAGACAAUCAGAGUUCCCUGUCCAUCCACAUGUUUCACAUAUAAGGUGGCCUCACUUGGACUUUUUUUAAAUCCACUCUGCAGCAAAUGAGUAUCAAUAUUGCUGUACCAAGCUCUGGGAGCUUGUUUUAGACCGUACAGGGCCUUUUUUAACUUAUAUACUCUGUGUUCUUCUCCCUUGACAAUAUAUCCAUCUGGCUGAUCUGUAUACACUUCCUCUUCAAGGAUCCCAUUCAGGAAAGCAGACUUUACAUCUAACUGGUACAGUUUCCACCCUUUCUGUGCUGCCAAAGCAAUGAGUGUUCUUAUAGUAUCCAAUCUAGCCACAGGUGCAAACGUCUCAUUAAAAUCAAUUCCGGGCUUUUGAGUGUAUCCUUUGGCAACUAAUCUUGCCUUGUGUUUUUGUACAGUGCCAUCCAAAUUCAAUUUGGUUUUGAAGAUCCAUUUUACCCCAACAAUUGGUUUGUCACUUGGUCUAUCAACCAAUCUCCAAGUGUCAUUCUUCUCAAUCAUAGUAAUCUCCUCAUCCAUUGCUUUCUUCCAAGCUUCAUCUUGAGAAGCUUCAAUGUAAUUCUCAGGUUCAAUGACACUGAGUCUACACUGAGCAAACACUUCAUUCAGAUCUCUCCACUUCUUUGGUGUGUUGUCAUAGGUUUCUGUGAGUGGAAUUUCACUCUCCAUAUUCACAGUGUUAGGAGCAUCAUUGUGUACACUGGAAACAUACUCACUUCUUGUAUUUGGGCAAGAUAAACCAGAGGAACUAAUAUUAGUUUCUUCACACACGCCAUUUUCUAUCUCAGUUAUGCUUAUACCCUCAUUAGCUUCUGAGAAAGGUACCGAGAAAUGCACAGUUUCCAUAUUCUCCCAAUUAAGAGCAGCAUCUUCAUCAAAAAUAACACUCCUUGAGACAAUGAUGUUGUUGUGUUUCAGAUCAUACACCCUGUAACCCUUUUCUCUUGUCCCAUAUCCAACAAAUACACAUUUCUGUCCAGUUUUUGUCUUAACUGGGUUGGCACAUGAGUGUAGCAAACAGAACCAAAGAUUCUCAAGUGUUUUACCCCUGGUUUUCUACCACAGAAUUCUUCAAAAGGAGUCUUGUUCUCUAGUGCUUUGGUAGGACACCUGUUAAGCAAGUAGACAGCAGUGUGAACUGCUUCACCCCAGAACUUGAGUGGUAAUUUUUUUUCAUAGAGCAUGGUUCUUGCCAUCUCAACUAUGGUACGAUUCUUCCUUUCAGCAAUACCAUUUUGCUGGGGAGAAUAAGCAACAGUGAGUUGCUUUUCAAUACCAACAUCUUCACAAAAUCUUUCAAAUUCUAGAGAUGUGUACUCUCCUCAUCUGUCACUUCUGAUUUUCUUCAGUUUGUAACCAGUUUGUAAUUCAGUCAUGGCCUUGAACAUUUUAAAAAUUCUGAAUACCUUAGAUUUGCACUUCAGAAAAUAGACCCAACACAUUCUGGACUUGUCAUCUAUGAAGGUGAGAAAAUACCUGCUACCUCCAAGUGUUUCACUCAUGGGUCCACACACAUCUGUGUGUACAAGUUCUAAUGGCAACUUUGCUCUCCAUUUCUGUUCUUUGCUAAAAGCCUCUCUGUGAGCCUUUCCAGUAGCACACCCUUCACAUACCUGAUUGUACUCCUUUAGAUAUGGCAGACCAUACACCAUACUCCUUUCUUGUAACAUUCUCAGGCUGUCAUAGUUUAGGUGCCCAAAUCUUCUGUGCCAUUUCCAUGUGUUACCUUCAGUGGUAGCAAUAUUUGCUACAAUAUGAUCCACAUGAUUAAACAUUAGUGGAAAGCAUCUAUUUCCCUUCAUUUUCACAGUGGCUAUAUGAUCUUGCAAUUCACGAUCUCCAAAUAUGCAGGCCAUGAAAUUACCAAACAACAACCAAUAGCCAUGUUCAACCAUUUGUCCUACACUGAGAAGAUUUUCAUCCAAACCAGGUACAAUCAUUACUUCUGGUAUGAACCGAGUGCCUCUUUUGGUCUCCACAAUCAGUGUGCCUUUGCCAACUGAGUCAACCAAUUCCCCUGUGCCCAUUUUCACCUUACACCUUAUACUUCUGUCAAUAUUGAUCAUCAAUGAUUCAGUACUGGUCAUGUGGUUACUGCAACCACUGUCCAAAUACCAAACACCAUUGUUUUCUUGCACAGAGGCCUUAUGACAGGCAUAGAACAUCAUUGCAUUAUCUUGAACAUGAUUCAAAUAAUUUGCAGUAUGAUUUUUCUUUGGUUGGUGACAAUCUCUCACUACAUGUCCAAAUCUGUUGCAGUUAUGACACUUAGGUUUUCCUUUGAACCAACACUCUCCAUGAUGAGCCUUAUCACAGAUCUUGCACUUUUGUUUAACACCCUCAGUGAUCUCGCCCUGUCUUUCAGGCUGUCGAGUGUUGUUUUCCCACUUCCUAGACAUAGACUUCCAAUUCUUCUUUCCCUUACUGUGAUUUCCCUGUGUGAGUGGCCUAUUCUGUGCUUUAGGUACAAGACCCAUAGUGGAGAAAGCAUGCUCCGUGCUUGUAAUUUCAUCAACAUGUCUACUCAAUCUAAGCUCAUAACUCUUAAGAGAUCCUACCACUUCUUGCACAGUCACAGUAUUCAAAUAAGAAGUUCUUUCAAUCACAACACAGAUUGGAUCAUAUUUACUGGACAAACUAAUCAAAACCUUUUGAACUUCUCUUUGAUGAGUGAGGUUCUCACCAUAAGAUUUCAUUUGAUUAAUUAAUUCAAAUAGUCUAGUAAGAUAGACAGAUAGAGAUUCAUUCUCCUUCAUUCUCAUAUACUCAAAUUCACGACGUAAACUUUGAAGUUUAACAGAUCUUGCCUGUUCAUCGCCGCGAAACUCCUCCUGGAGUAGAUCCCAGGCACCCUUUGAGGUCUCUUGAUUCACAAUCCGAGGGAAGAUCUCCUUCGAGACAGCACUUUGAAUAAUGCCCAGUGCCUUAGCAUCUUUCAUGAGCUGAUCUUCCAUGUGUGCGUCCAACUCGUCAUCAUCUCCUUCAUCAUCAUCCGAUGAGGAUGAAUCUUCCUCGUCUUUCUCCUUCUUUGUUUUCUUCUUUUCUCCUUUCUUCUUCGAAUCUGGAAUAACAAUCCCUUUGUCAACCAAUUUCCAUAUCCCAUACGAUUUGAAAAUGGUGACCAUUCUCACUUUCCAGAACUCGAACUCCGUUCCAUCAAAAACGGGAGCUCGUAAAUCACCGCUUCCAGAUCCAGCCAUUUAGCUUGAAUCGGAAUGAAAUGGAGAGAUUUCACGUUGGAUUCUCUCACACAAUUUCACAGAAUUCAACGCCCAGUCCGAAAUCGAACCUAGGCUCUGGAUACCAUGUUGGACUUUCCUGUUAUGUAGUGAUGUAUUUAGAAAUGUGCAUAAGAAGAAGAAGUUUUUAGAGAGAAAAUGAAAAGACAGAGAGAGUUCUCAAAAAUCUCAGAGAGAGCCAAAGAAUGCUCUGCUGCAUAUAUUCCUUCUUUCCUCAACAUUUACAUGACUACUAGGGAGAGAGAAGCUACAUAGCCUAUGAGCUCAUCAUACCAUUCAUUACAAGACCCUAUGAGAUCUUGACACAUGUUUACAUCCAAGCCUAGCACAAUAUCAUCUAAUCUCAGCCCUUGAUCACUAACUGAUUUAUUUACACUUGCUAAAGUAAGGAAAAUACAGUUUAGACCUUAAUCAACUAACAGAAACUGUUUUCUGUUUCUUCGAACUCCACGAUAUUAAGUUUUUACCCAAGUAUAUACAGAAGCCUCCAGUCAAUUGUACACCUCGAGGUCUAUAAACAAGACCCUGAUCAUAGGUAGCCUUCAAAUAACGUAGGAUCCUCUUUAACUGCCCUCCAAUGAGUGUUGUUGGAUGAAUGCAUGAACUGACACACUUGGUUCACAACAUAAGAAUCAGGUCUCGUAAUUGUCAUAUAAUGUAGGGCGCCUACAACACUUCGGUAUAAUUCAGGGUUACUAUAUGAUUCACCCCCAAAAGCACUCAGUUUCUGUCCAGAAGAAACUGGAGUCGAGAAUGGCUUGGCAUUGAUAAAUUUAGUACAUUCCAGCAAGUCCAGGGCAUACCUGGACUCUGUGAGAUGCAUUUGAUCACCCGAGCAGGUUACUUCAACACCUAGGAAGUAGUUGAGACGACCCAAGUCCUUCAUGGAAAAUAAAGUGCCCAAUCUCUUUGUCAACUGAGCCAUUUGAUAAGUAUUGUUUCCUGUGAGCGAUUUAUUAUCCACAUAGAUUAGUAAGAUGAGAUAUACUCCUCUUUGAUUAAACACAAACAAAAUUUAAUCACACUUGGAUUCUUGAAAUCCCAAUUGAAGCAAGAAAUCAGAAAAUCUCCCCCCUCCCCCUAAUAAUAGUAAAUUCGAAAAUAAAAUUAAAAAAGAUGGUCAGAGGAGGAGAUGGAUGCUUAUGUCUCACGGAAAGGAAUUCUUUCUUCCACCCUAUUAAGAUUUACAAUUAAUUUGGCACGAUAUCAAUUUUAUUUUUUCAGAAGACACAAGCAUUCAUGAAAUGAUGGUUUCUUCUAAGUUCUGAAGCACUCUGGGGGAUCAAACUGAAUGCAACACAUCUUUAAAUUUCCUAUAGUCCACUAAAAUCACACAUCACAAUCAACAACAACAACAACCAAGCCUUAUCCCACUAAGUAGGGUUGGCUGUAUGCAUCCUAGAACACCAUUAAGUGGGGUGAAUCCUAUAACAACAACCAAGCCUUUACACAUCACAAUCAAAGCGUAAAAAAUUCACAAAUGACUAGCAAACAGAGGAAAACUUCCAGGAGUAGUCUGAAAAUAGUUUUCUUCUUUUCCGUUAACAAGUCCGAACAUACUUUUAUUUGCAAAGCGGAUAUGUCAAAACAGGAACAAUAGAUGAAAAUAAGGGCAAUGAGGGAAAACAUUCAACACAGGAAACGACCAAAAUCUAAGAAUGAAGUAACUUAAAAUUGCCAUAAAUUACAAAGAAAAGUAGGGUAUAAACUAAAGAGCUACAUUAGAGAUGUUAUAUAAAUUUUGGAUGGAUCAGGCAUUCUCUAUAUCCUUAAAUACUUCUCAGGUGUUCUGCUGCUUGCUUUUAUAUUGCCAUUCACAAUAUGGAAAGCAAGGACUUAAAUCACGUGUCCUGUUGUGCAAAAAUUAAGGCAAGGCAAGCUAUGGAUUGACAAUUCGUGGUUUUAUAUUGCCACUCAAAAUAUGAACAGCCAGUACCAUGCAAAGUUCUGUCCCCACCCCCCCUAAGUUCCAUUGGACCUAUGGCUACACCAAGGGCGUAACCGUAUCCUCAUAUACAUGAUAAACUUGGCUAAAGAAUAUCGUUUUAUAUUUAAGGUACCGUUUGGUACGUGGGACGGGACGGAAUGGAGUGGGACGAGGUGUUCUGUCCCACGUUUGGUACGCCUAAAACCAGUGGAACGCGUUGUUCCAUGUGACGAAUUUUGGAUGAAUUUUCAUUCCGCCUCACCCCCUGGAACGACUCGUUCCACAUCCGUGGAACACAAAAUUAUAAACUCUUCGUCUCCUUCUUCUUCCUUGUUUCCAUCCGAGGGCAUCUUUGCUCCCUCUCCGUUCCGUCCCGUCCCGUUCCAUCCCAUUCUGUUUCGUCCCAUCCCGUCUGCAUACCAAACGAUACCUAAAGGUUGCAAACACUCGCCCUAACUGAUGCCUGACCUCAUUAGCAGUAGGCCAUUUGUUACCACUAAUCUCCAAGGUCAAUUCAAGACAGCCACCAUUUUUGUAGUUCCAAUCUUGCAUGCCUCCAUAUAUAGGGUACCUACAACAGGUGUCUUAAGAAACAAUAGAUGAAUAUCAAACAGAAGAAAAAUAUACCUGUAAUAAUUUGUAAUGUUUCAAGCCAUCAUACCAGAAAGCUUGAUUCGUAAUCUCUCCCUCAAAUUCCUUGCGCAAUGACAUAUUGUAGUGAGAGCAACUAUAUACACUUGCUAAGAACCGGAAUGUCUUGUUGUUUGGACAUGCAAAAUAAUCUUUCCUGUAAUUUAAUUUAGAUCAAAAGACGAGCAUAUGUGCAAAAUAAAAAUUAAUAAGCAUUGGCAUAAAUUCUGGGAUAGUGUUAUUAUGAACUUACACAUAUUGUUAGGCACCAUCCGAAAAUCCAUAAUCAAAUUAGAAGUAAUCGGCAAUGUUCAUAACAUUACGGUAACACUGUAAGACCUACUAUUUACAUCACCAUGCUUGUUUCACACUACAAAAGAAACAUUUAAAACCUGAACACAUUGGGCAUCAUAGGUAAAAUUGAAUAAUGAUCAAAACCUACACUCUCACUGACGUCAACGUACAAAAUUGAAGAAGAGUAAUGGAAAUGAAUGAUGACAAUUAUUCAGGACAAAUGUUCAACAAACAAAUCGGUUUGCUUUUUCCAUUGCUGUCAAAGAUGUUCCAAGAGAGCUAAAGGUUGACAGGUUUUUCCAUUAAGAGGACAAGGUUUCCAGCUUAUAAAAGGCAAAAGAAAAACAAAGAACGAGAAAUAUAUAUACAACAGCAUAUCAAAAAGGUAAGACCGCAGUAUCAAGUUAUCAAUCAGCAUUGGUCCGUGAAGAGCUUUUAUGGAUGUAAAUUGAUUACCUUUUAUCCUGCGUGCCAUCCCAUGAUAAUUUGCAACAAGGGCAACCUGUGAACAACAAAAGAAUUGGUAAUGACUAAGGUGCAGUUUAAGAUUGAGGUAAUUAAAAAAAGUUGGUAUAAAAAAAGUUGGAAGUUUUUUUGUCUUUGGUAAACAUUCAACUUCAGUUUUUUUUUUACAGUUUUGGGUGAAAAAAAACAGAAAACAAGAAGCUGCAAAACCCAGCUUUGAAAAGUCGGUUUUUUUUUCACAUUUAUUUAACAUAAAAGUUUACCAAACACUAUAAUACUGUUUUUUUUUUUCAAAAGCAUUUUUACAAAAAAGUUUACCAAACACUUUACAGCUUUAUUUCACAGCUGCUUAUUCUCACGCACAGCAAAAAUAAUUUUUUUUCAAUGCACAUCAAUACCAAAUCAGUACUAAGUUUGAAAUGUACGCGACAAAGCCGUCACUGGGACCCAGCACUGCAGCUUUGUCCUACAGUCUUGUCGGCCACUAAUCAUGAGUCUAACAACUCUUUCGGCCAUCCAACAGCUAUAACCAAUGGGUUGUUGAUUAAUCCAACCAUCUAGAUUUAAAAAAUAUUUAUAAUUACAUUAAAUUCAAUAGAUGUAAUUGAAUAUGAGUAUAUACAACAGUAAAAAAUAAAAAAUAAUAAUUCUGAUGGCCUAAUUUUAAAUUUAACUGUUAAAACAAUUAAAAAAUAUUUAACUCAAAUUUCACCUUAAAACUUUAUAAUUAUAUAUGUAUAUGGUCAAACAUCCAAACACAUACCACUUUCCUCAUACAUUUUUUUCGGUUUUUUUUUAUCUUUCUACCCACUUCCCAAAAGUACUUCAUCCUAUUUCUAAAUUUUUCAAAUUGCCAAAAGAUCAUGUGAGAGGACCUGAUUGGUCAAGUGAUGAAAAUAUUGCUUGUUAUUUGGUAUGAAUUUUUAUUAGCAAAGAUGAUGCUAUAAGUACAAACAAAAAUGCUAAGGAGUUGCGGGCUCGUAUUGUUAAAAUUUUAAUUCCACCUCCAACACCAAACAACCCUAUAAAGGUGUUUACGGUCGGUAGAAGAUUAUCAAUAGAGCAUACACCUUUUUAGAAUUUAAAUAUUUUUAGGUAAAAAUGUUCAUAAAAAUAAAUUAGAAUAAUCGACAUAAAUCUUAUUUUUUUAAAAGUUAACGAAAAAAAAUUAGACUAGAAUUAUUCUUUAAUUAUGUGUGGCUUAAAUUUUAAGCCAUAAUCAAUGGAAGAAAAACAAUUGUUUCUAGGUUAUGGCUUUAAAAUUUGUGGCUUAAUUUUUUAAGGUUUAACCAAAGAAAAGGGUUGUGCAUGGUCUUAGGCUUGUUCGGUCUAAUUAAUAUUAGCGUCGCGCACCCAACUCCCAAUUCUAUCAUCUAAUUCGGCUUCUUUGUGUUGUGUGGAGCUUUGGCCAGCCUUAUUUUCACAAGCAUAUAUCACACCUACAAAGUAGAAAUUUGGGAAAGGCUUUCAAGUGAAUCAAAUCUUUAUUUACGCAAAAUAGCUCAGUUCUUACGGGAUUUCAUUAAGCUGAUUUUUUAGUAGCAGGAUGGCAUCUAAUGAACUAUGUCUUCCCUGAUCAAUCUCGCAUCUCAGCAGAGCUUGAGAGGCACAUCCGCGAAAUUCAUACCAUUGUCGGAAAUGCGGUCACUGAAGGGAGAUACAUUGUUUUUGGUGCUGGCUCAACCCAACUUCUCAAUGCUGCUGUUUGGGUUAAAACUUAAACUUUGGGCUCCAAAGGAAGUUGGCCCAACAAAGAAGAGAAAAGCCCGGAGACCAGCCCAAGUCCAGAAGGCAGAAAUGGUCUUUCCCGACUAGGUGCAGAUCAUUUGCACCACUUGCUCACCUACCCAAGGGCCAAGUGGUAUAGACCUGCCAGCUAAUCAGCCCAAAAGUAUUUUAUAGUGGCAAUACAAGUAAAAUAGCUGAUGAGUCACUAUCCUUCAAACCACAUUCGGGCAAGGUUGUCGCUACAGGAGGCUAAGUCAAAAUGUCUAUAAAAGAGGAGAGAGGAAUCAAAGCUCAGGACACUCAAACAACCAAACAAAUACAAGCACAAACUCUGCUCAAAACCAUAUUUGCCUUCAAAACGAAUCUGUAGUCAGCCCAAACCUUCAUCCUUCUCCGGAUAAACCUUUGUAAUAGCUCUGCUACCUGGUCAAGAACCCGUCGUAGUAUCGAUUUCUUUUGUAAACUCAUCUCCCUACCCCUUUUCUAAAAUGCUCUCAACCCCCUUGAUAAACCACAAAGAUAGGAAGUUGCAAGCCGAUCAGCCUUGCCCGACAAGGUUAAACCUUGCCCGACCCUCUUUGUUUUUGUCUUUUCAUUCAUUAGCCUAGCAAUAUGUUGUAUACUACAAAUUGUAUUCAAGUUAUUUAUAGUAAUAUGGCUAUUAAAAGUUUCUAUCAGCACUUGAAUCCGGUUUGAAUAUAUCUUCACAGUUCAAACCAGAUCUAAGUUCUAAACCCUCGGGCAUGUAAGAUUUGAUCAUCCAAAAGUCCUUGGCCUCAAGGCAUAAAAAAAGACCUUAUGUGGACUUAACCCAUCCACGACAAGCUUUGAUAAACAAGAAGUUCGAAGUUACUUGGGGCGCAAGUAAUCGAUCUAUCACCUAGUUUUAUUUCUAUUAUAUUAUGAUUAUCAUAGAACGUUGAGUAUAGAAUGAAUCCUGAUGGGAAGCUUCAAGGCCUACACCUAAGGCCCCACAAAGGCACCUAUUUGGAUUCAUUCUGUCAUUCGGGCUAGAACGAUGAGUAUGGAAGGAAUUCUGAUGGAAAGCCUCAAGGCCUAUCUAAGGCACCACAAAGGCACCUAUUUGGAUUUAUUCUGUCCUUCGGGUUCGGGUAAUCAGAAGUAUAAUGGUUAUAAGAUUUAUAUAACCAAUGAAACGAAUUAUAUGUAUAUAUUCAAAUAUUAAGUUAGUUAUUAACAGGAAGCCUCAAGGCCUACACCUAAGGCCCUACAAAGGCACCUGUUAUAACUAAAAUAGUCUCUUGAGUAUAUACAAUUAAAAUUCAACAUCCGUUUUACAUCUGCCAUGCUGAAGAUGGCAGUGGCACGCCUGAGCACUCAAAAGUUAAUCUUGAUUGUGAGCCUCAAGGCCUACACCUAAGGCCUCACAAAGGCACAUUUCAAAGUUAAUUCUGUCCUUCUCUUUCAGCCUUACCCGACAAGCCUUGCCCGACAGGCCUUGCCCGACAAGCCCGCCAGUAAAGCAGAAGCCUGAUAGAAAGUAUCAACCAGCGCCAACCUCUCGGGGAGCUGUGUGCUCGUCGGCCAGGAAACAUCCCCGACAGAAAUUCUUGCCACGAACAGCUGCAGUUAACGCACUGUCGACUUCCAAUAACUUCAACUCUUCACCUUCAAGUGUUGUAGCUUCAAUUCCUUAUUACAGUGUAAGAUCCGACUUCUGACUUUACAGCAAUGACUAAAACUAUUUAAUAUUGAUAUACAUGAUUUCGAUGUGAAUUUUCACAGCUUUACCAAAUGCAAACGGAGUUUUUCCGAUCAAUGGACUAUAUGUUUCAAGGAGAUGCUGCCUUGCUGCAGAAUACUUCGGAUGCUACUAAAAAUGUUGUUGAGUUUGUAACCUCACCAAACAAUCCAGAUGGGCAGCUGAAGAAGGCAAUUUUUCAAGGCCCGAAUGCUAAGGCAAUCUAUGAUCGUGUAUACUACUGGCCACAUUUUACAGCAAUUCCUGCUCCAGCAGAUGACGAUCUCAUGAUAUUUACAAUUUCUAAACUCACUGGCCAUGCCGGUACUAGAUUCGGGUACUUAACAUACUAACCAACAUUUUCUUCCACAUUCUCCCCACCCUUAAUGUAAAUAUAUCGUUGUAUAAAACAAAAACAUAUUCUUCCACAUCCAUUGAAUUUUAUAGGGAGAUAUUCUGCUUGAAUUUUAUCACCCUAAACCCUAAGUAAAGCCCCUUUAGGCAAAUCAUAUUAAUGUUUUGCCUUGUGCAGGUGGGCAUUGGUAAAGGAUGAGUCUGUGUACCAAAGGAUCACCCAGCAUAUACUCAUGAGUAGCUUAGGUAUUUCUCGAGAUGCUCAGCUAAGAGCUUUGAAGCUUCUAAAUGUCGUCCUUGAAACCGGAGGCAGGGAAAUCUUUAGUUCGGAUACCACACUUUGAAGAAACGCUGGUAAAAUUUGACAAACAUCCUGUCUCUGUCAAACCGCUUUACUCUUCAAAAGUUUGAACCCAAAUACUGCAACUUCUUCAAGAAUAUUAGAGAGCCUUCACCAGGUAAUGUACUAUAACUCAUCCUGUGAUUUUCGAAACAUGCUAGAGUACGUGUGUGUAGGUUACUUAAUUUAAGAAUUCCUGUAUAAACAUAGGACGUUGCACCUUUCAAAGUUAAUGAGAGUUUAAUGUUCAUGAUGACAUAUUUUAUUGUAAACACCGUACAGAAGUGCGCAAGUGUCUGCGUGUAAUGAUUUAUCAAUUUGGUGACAGAAAAAGUGAAAAUUAUGUUUUGACGAUCAAAUGAAUUUGCAGCCUAUGCAUGGGUGAAGUGCGAGAGGGAAGAGGAUAAAGAUUGCUAUGAAGUUCUGAAACAAGAAGCGAAUGUUAAUGGUCGUCCAGGUGCUGAAUUUGGAGCUGAAGAUCGAUAUGUUCGUCUCACCCUCUUAAGGACCCAAGAUGAUUUUGAUUUAUUGCUUCAGCGACUCAACCAAUUGGUCCUGGAUGAAAGUAAGAGCAAAAUAAUUAUUUCUUCUCAAGUAGGGGGUCAAUACGUGACAUAAUCUGCUACAGAGAAACAUUGCAGAAAUUUAGUAGAGCACUACUCGUGCUCCCUUAUGUACGUUUGUAGAAAUAUAGGAGAGCACUACUUGUGCUCCCUUUUGUACGUCUAUAUGUAGCGGUCACCAUUUAGUCUCGUAAGAAAAACAAAGCCAACAAACCAUAUGUAAACCAAUUGAUCGCAAAAUAACUACCUCACAAUCUUUGUGAGCAUUUUUUUUUUCCUGCAACUCUCUUAAACAGAAUUCCUCAGUUCUGUCAACAUUUUAGUGCCCUGAACAUGCCACGAAAUUAAUCAAAGUAUAUAAUGAGAUCAGUACACAACCUUUGUCACUUUGAAGUUCUACAAACAUAUGGUGCAUAUUUACCGUGUAACGCAAAUGGCAAGCUCCAUAAUGUAAAUUUUCCUUGUGCCUUUCGUCUGUGUUUUAAUGUGCGCAAAAUAAGGUAAAUAACAUAUACAUGCUCCAUUUUCUUCAAGGACAGUAGUUGUGAUGACAUUAACAUGAAGCACUAGUACACUAGCCAAGGAGAGGAAAGCGAACUUACCUGACUGACCAAAAUCAGGCUCAGUAGCAUACAUGAUCGCCAACCAGGAUUCAGAAGGAUUCGUGUCAUCGACAUGAUUGUGGUGAAAUGGCCUCAGCAUCCGAGUCAAGCUCCCACCAUCUGCCAGUAUCAUCCUUCGCAAAUUUUCAUUCACAUGCACGCACGCGCGCAAAAACACACCAACAAAAACUUUGAUUUCCUCGUCCUCACUCGCAGCAUCAACCUCACCAUUCCAGUUAUGCAAACUUUGUUCUUCCUCUGGCUUGUAUGUCCAGUCCAAUAUCUUCAACACGUGAUGGUCUUUCCAUUUCCCCACAACCGAAAUCAGCCUCCUUCUUAACCUUUCUACUCAACAUUUCAUUCCAAUAAAAGCUAGAAUCCACCACAACAACCAUCUUCAAACAUACAUCUCAACUUUGCCUCCAUCACAACAUCCACAAUACCUUAAUUAUCCGACAAAAGCAUCACACACUCAACUCUCCUAUGAUUUCUCAAUGCAACAUCCAUCCCCUGUGGUGUAUCCAACACAUCUAAAACCCCUGCCGCCUCACCUUGUCUGCUAAACCACGCCCAAUCUUGGGUGUCAAGACAUCCCUUGAAGCAUUCUUUCACUUGUCCAUCUUCAUUGAAUACUUGCCCACCAAUUUCACCCCCGAACUCCCUCUAGCAGUCUCAAACUGAUUCAACCUUUUCACACGUUCCCUCUCAUGAAUCUGCCUAAAAUCAUUCACAAGCUUUUCAUUAGUAUAAAAUCUCCUCCCACAAACCCGUUGGACUCACCAGCCUUAAUCACAACCCUGUUGCUCUCUUUCGUUUCCCUAACAACUUGUGGAGCAUAAUUCAAUGCAUUCCCUAUCUAGAGGGUAUAAGUUUAGUGUAAUUAAACGAUAUCACACCCAUCUAAAAUUAAACGUUUGAAAUAUUGGAAAUGGUGUCAUGUGAGAAUUUUCGCUCUAAAUCUCAAAUGUUUCACACAGAGAAAGUUAUUUCAAGAAUACUUAAAAUGCUAUUCACUUAUGAUUACUCUUCUCAUGAUCAAAACAACAUGUGAAGCAAGUACCAUGGAAUCAAUCAACAGACCACAAGCUAAAAUAAGUAAACAUUCAGUCCCUGUGGUAAGACCAUCUAAUAACAUAUUGAUAGGCAGCCAUAACAUACCUUGGCUACAGUUGCAACGAGAUUAAGCAUGCUCAUUUUGUUGCAUCCCCAAAGAGUCAGAAGCUGCAUGUUUAUAUGCAUUAAAGACAACACGUCAAACAGCUAAAUGAUAGUAAGUUAAAAUGAAAGGGAAAUAAUCUCCCAGGCCAAUAAAAGUCACUUGUGCCAAUUGAUCAUCCAAUAAAAGCCCUUGAGUCUUAUUAACUAAAUGGAUAUAAAACUACCAAAAAUUCCCAUAUCACAAAUCAACUAGAACGUGUAAACAAGCAAGAAUGCAAAGCUUAUGUUAAUAGGAAGCAAGAAACAGGCAAAAAACAUAUAACUAACAUUGUGCCUCGUGUAUAGGUGAGGAACAAGAAACUUAACAUGAUAUUAGAAUAAUAUCAAGACUGGUAGCAUGGACAGAGAGAAAAUAAUUAGACAUGUUAGGAUACCGAGUAACCCAAAGUUAACCAACUUGAAGCAAGGACAGAGAAAAUAAUCAGCCAUGUUAGGAUACCGACUUGAAGCAAGGACCAAGAAACUUAACAUGAUAUUUGAGGAAGAGGGUUUCUGCUGAUGUAUAUACUUGAUUUAUUUGCAUUCUGUUUUUAAUGGAGCACGAACAAGGUUAACUAAACUAACACUUCUAACCCUAUGGAAACUUUUAUCUUUUCAGUUCUCGACUAGGAACAGCCAGCACCAUGCAAAGUUCCGUCCCCACCCCCCUAAGGUCCAUUAGACCUAUGGCUACACCAAGGGCGUAACCGUAUCCCAUAUACAAGAUAAACUUGGCUAAAGAAAAUAGUAUUUUAUAUCAAGGUUGCAAACACUCGCCUAACUGAUGCCUGACCUCAUUAGCAGCAGGCCAUUUAUUAUCACUAAUCUCCAAGGUCAAUUCAAAACAGCCACCAUUAUGUAGUUACAGUCUUGCAUGCCUCCAUAUAUAGGGUACCUACAACAGGUAUCUUAAGAAACAAUAGAUGAAUAUCAAACCAAAGAAAAUAUACCUAUAAUAAGUCGUAAUGUUUCAAGCCAUCAUACCAGAAAGCUCCAUUUGUAAUGCCUCCCUCAAUUUCCUUGCUCAAUGACAUAUUGUAGUGAGAGCGACUUUAUACGCUUGCUAAGAACCGGAAUGUCUCGUCAUCCGGACAUGCAAAAUAAUCUUUCCUGUACUUUAAUUUAGAUCAAAAGCCAAGUAUGUGCAAAAUAAAAAUUUAUAAGCAUUAGAAUAUAAAUUCUGGGAUAGUGUUAUUUUGACCUUACACAUAUUGUUAGGCACCAUACGAAAAUCCAUAAUCAUAUUAGGAGUAAUCGGCACUGUUCAUAACAUUACAGUAACACUUUCAGACCUACUAUUGACAUCACCAUGCUUGUUUCACACUAUAAAAGAAACAUUUAAAAACCUGAACACAUUGAGCAUCAUAGGUAAAAUUGAAUAAUGAUCAAAACCUACACUCACACUGAGGCCAACGUACAGCAGGAAGAAGUCUAAUGGAAAUGAAUGAAGACAAUUAUUCUGGACAAAUGUUCAACAAACUAAUCGUUUGCUUUUUCCUUUGCUGUCAAAGAUGUUCCAAGAGAGCUAAAGGUUGACAGGUUUUUCCAUUAAGCGCACAAGAUUUCUAGCUUAUAAAAGGCAAAAGAAAAACGAAGAACGAGAAAUAUAUACAACAGCAUAGUUCAGUGCAGAACUUUUAUGGAUGUAAAUUGAUUAUCUUUUAUCCUGAGUGCCAUCCCAUGGAUAAUUUGCAACAAGGGCAACCUGUGAACAACAAAAGAAUUGGUAAUGACUAAUUUCUCCACAUCUGAAUCAAGGAAUCCAUUAGCUAAGAUAGAGAACCACCUGUUAGAAUUUAAAAAAAAAAAAAAAAUUCCUUUGAUUUCUCAGGAACCAAACGGUAGUUAAUUAUGAUCAGAUAGAUUGUCAACUUCCAAAAACAACCAAGAAACUAAAUGAACACAGAUGCAAAUGAACACAUCAUAUAAAAUGAAUACAAAUUAUAUAUGUUCGUGGCAGGAAUUUCCAUUGGGGAUGUUUCCUAGCCGACGAGCACACAGCUCCCCGAGAGGUCGGUGUCGGUUGAUGCUUUCUGCCGGGCUUCUGCUUUACUGGCGGGCUUGUCGGGCAAGGCUGAAAGAGAAGGACAGAGUUAACUUUGAAAGGUGCCUUUGUGGGGCCUUAUGUGUAGGCCUUGAGGCUCACAAUCAAGAUUAACUUUUAAGUGCUCAGGCGUGCCACUGCCAUCUUCAGCAUGACAGAUGUAAAACGGAUGUUUGGGUUUUAAUUAUAUAUAUAUAUAUAUACCCGAGAGACUAUAUUAGUUAUGACAGGUGCCUUUGUAGGGCCUUAGGUGUAGGCCUUGAGGCUUCCCAUUAAUAACUAACUUUAGUACUCGAAUAUAUAAGGUUCAUUUUCUUGGUUAUAUGAGUCUUAUAACUAUUAUACUUCUGAUUACCUGAGCCCGAAGAGCAGAAUGAAUCCAAAUAGGUGCCUUUGUAGGGCCUUAGAUAGGCCUUGAGGUUUCCCAUCAGAACUCCUUUUAUACUCAACGUUCUAGCCCAAGGAACAGAAUGAAUCCAAAUAGGUGCCUUUGUGGGGCCUUAGAUAAAGGCCUUGAGGCUUCCAAUAAGAAUUCAUUCCGUACUCAAACGUUUUAUGGUAAUCAUAAUAUAAUAGAAAUAAAACUAAGUGACUGGUCGAUUACUUGCGCCUCAAGUAACUUCGGACUUCUUGUUUAUCAAAGCUUGUCGUGGAUGGGUUAAGUCCACAUAAGGUUCUUUUUUUAUGCCUUGAGGCCAAGGACUUUUGAGUGAUCAAAUCUUACAUGCCCGGGGGCUUAGAACUUAGAUCCGGCUUGAAUUGUGAAGACAUAUUCAAAUCGGAUUCAAGCGCUGAGAGAGUUUUUUAAUAGCCAUAUUACUAGAAAUAACUUGAAUACAACUUGUAAUAUGCAACAUAUUGCUAGGCUAAUGAAUGAAAAGACAAAAACAAAGAGGGUCGGGCAAGGUUUAACCUUGUCAGACAAGGCUGAUUGUCUUGCAACUUCCUAUCUUUGUGGUUUAUCAGGAGGUUUGAAAGCUUAGAAAAGGGGUUGGGAGAUGAGUUUACAGAAAGAAAUCGAUACUACAGCAAGAGUUGAACAGGGUAGCAGAGCUAUUACAAAGGGUUUAUCCCGAAAGGGAUGAAGGCUUGGGCUGACUACAGCUUCGUUUUGAAGGCAAAUCUAGCUUUGAGUAGAGUUUGUGCUUGUAUUUGUUGGUUUGUUUGAGUGUCCUUAACUCUGAUUUCUCUUUCUUCUUUAAUAGACACUUUGGCUUGGCCUCCUGUAGCAACAAUCUUGCCCGAAUGCAGUUUAAAUGAUAAUGACUAAUCAACUAUUUACUUGUACUGCCACUGUAAAGUACUUUUGGGCUGAUUAGUUGACUGGUCUAUACCACUUGGCCCUUGGGUAGGUGAGCAAGUGGUGCAAAUGAUCUGCACCUAGUCGGGAAAGCCUUUUUCUACCUUCUGGGCUUGGGUUGUGCUUCGGGCUUUUCUCCUUUUUUUGGGCCAACUCCCUUCUGAGCCCAAAGUUUAAGUUUUAACCCAAACAAUGCCCCCUUCAAUCAAUAUUCAGACUGGAAUUCCAGGCGCCAAUAUUGAUUGAAUAUCCGCAUGCUUGUAUACCCGCUCUUGGAACUUGUGUUUUUUAGACAGGAUGCCUACGAUCCUGCGUCUCUUGCUCUUCUCACGACCUUUGGGUUAUCCUCUGAGGUUUCUAUAAAUUCAGGCUUGAAUUUGCUUUUGUUCAGCCAACAAACCUCCUCCAGCCUUCGCUUUUAUUAACCCUGAGUACUUCUGCCUUAUUAGUUUUCUUCCCAAAACUGAGAAAUGAGUUCUUCAGGAUUCAAGUGGGGUUUCCUAAAACUCCCUUUUCGUGAGGAAAAAAAAAAGUUUUCAUCAGAUAACCACUAUCCCCAACACCUUUGGUCAGACACCCCGCUAUCUCCAACACCCUUGGUCAGAUGGUUUCCUUAUGAAGACUUGCCUUCCUGCUCGUUGUCAUGAUAAAUCAGGCUUCACCAUCAUACAUGGUGAUGAAUCUGCCUGAUGAUCCUCUACCAAGCUCAUCUUGCCCGCACAACCUGAUCACCUGAUCGGAUUCUAUCCAUGAAGACAUCAGAAAACCAACUGAGACGCCAUUGCACCUCGAAGAAGGCGAACGUAGCACAUCGGAAUUGAAUUGAAUUUCUUGUAAAUUUCACCAAUUUGUCGAAAUGAAAUAAACAUUAUCUUAACAGUCUUAUGUCUUUCUGUCUUCUUAAAUGACUGAUGAAUAUACACUGCACUUUAGCAUCCUGAAACCUGCUUUACUUUGCAUCCUCUUCAAUAUAACAAUCUCUAACAUCCCAUAAUGUAGGACAAUACUUUUUCAAGAAUUUAACAUUAAUGGGAUGUUUCUGCCAAUUCCCUUCGAGGUCCGCCAAGUAAUAUCCCCCUUUGUCUAACACUCAACUAAUCAUGAAAGGACCUUCCCAUGUCGGGCUCUAUUUUCCAAAGCCCCUAAGCUGAGCUCCUAGAGGAAGGACUGUCUUCCACACCAAAUCUCCUUCCUUGAAAGACUUUGCUUUCACCUUUUUGUUAUAAGCUCGGGCAACAGCUUUCUUUCCUUCCUGAAUCUAGUUCAGGGCUUCAAUUCGGGCUACGUCUAAGUCUUCAAUCCCUUGACACAUGGCUUCGAUAUACUCUUCGCUGUGUAACCCAAACUGAUUUUGAAUUCUGACAGAACUUACAUUGAUCUCCAUGGGAAGCACUGCAUCUUGCCCGAAAGUUAAAGCAUAAGGAGUUGUCCAUGUUCCUGCCCUUUUGGAAGUUUUGUAUGCCCACAAAGUAUUCCCCAGCUUUUCAUGCCACUUUUCUGGACUAUUUAUCACCAUUCUUUUGAUAAUGUUUGCCAAAAUAUUGUUGCUGGAUUCUGCCUGGCCAUUUGAUUGUGGGUAGUAAGGACUGGACUGGAUCAUCUUUAUUUUGUAUCUGCUUGCAAAUUCUUCAACUUCUUUUGAAAUAAAAGAUGGUCCUCGAUCCAUCACUAUGGUUUCGGGCACCCCAAAUUUAUACAGAAUCUUGGUCUCAAUAAAUUUUUUUACUGCAGCUGAGGUUAUGGAUUUUACAGCGAGACCUCUACCUAUUUGGUAAAGUAAUCCGUUGCUACAAUUAUGAAAGUGUGGCCCUUGCUAGAAGCUGGGUAGAUCUGCCCGAUGAAGUCCAUUGCCCAUCCUCUGAAGGGCCAAGGCUUGACUAUUGGAUUUAAAGGUACUGAGGGUACAUGUUGGAGAGGACCGUGCCUUUGACAUUCCUCACACCCUCGGGCAUAGGAAUUGCAAUCUUUUUCCAUGUCGGGCUAGAAAUAACCAUACCUCCUAAGUAACCACCUCAUCUUCGUUUCAGCCUGAUGUGUUCCACAUACUCUUUCAUGUACUUCGGCCAUCACUCUCAUGGAUUCCUCUUGGCCUAAGCAUUUUAAUAAUAACCCGUUUGGAGUUUUCCUUAGCAGGUCUUUUGCCCAUAAGACAUACUUAGUUGCUUGCUGUCUAUUUUUCUUGCUGGUGGGCGAAGAGGGAUCUUUAAAUGAUGGAUGAUGGGUGACCUCCAAUCUUCUAUCUCAGUUUCUAGAACCAUUACAUCCAGACUGAAUCCUCUUUCCAGGAUAGAAGGAAGAUUUCUUCUUUGAAUCUCCACAUCCAACCCAUAUUUUCUUUCCUGUAUUGGCAUGCCUGAGGCUAAUUGCGCAAUCUCGUCGGCUGCUAGGUUGGCUCCUUUGGGAACAUGACUAAUUGAUAUCUCAGAAUCCUAAUAACUCAGCAAAUGCAUGGCCUACCAAGUAAUAUCCGACCAUGGUGAUAUGUCUGCACUUGAACUCCCCAUUCAGCUGGUUUAUUACCAAUUCUGAAUCACCAACACCUCUACCUCUAUUGCCUCCAGAUCUAUCAAGAUUUCCAACCCAAUUAUUAAAGCCUCAUACUCUGCCCGAUUGUUGGUAUUCCCUUGGUAAUCUAAGAGAAAUGAGUAAUAAUGAUAAAUCCCUUGAAGGUUGAUAAUUACAAUCCCAGCUCCUAAAGCCUUUUGAGUAUAGGAACCAUCAAAAUAUAGCUUCCAAAGAGUAAUCCACAAACCAGCCACUCUUCUUAUCUCCUGCUGGAUUCACUCCUCUUUGCCCGAGAUCCAUUUGCCUGGCGGGAUCCAAACAUUAGUAACCUCCAGGGUUCCUGGUAUAUUGAUUAUCUCAUCUUGAGAUUCUUGAUGCUCCGCCAAGAAGUCAGCAAUUGCUUGGCCUUUUACUGCCCUUUAAGGGACAUACUGAAAGCUGAAUUCUGAUAAUGCUAUAAUCCACUUCCCAAUCCUUCCUGUUAACAUUGGCUUUGACAACAUGUACUUUAUCACAUCUGUCUUGGCGAUGAUGUGCACGUGACAAGGUAACAUGUAAUGCCUCAGCUUAUUGGCAGUAAAAUACAGAGCUAAGCACAAUCUUUCUACUGGGGAAUACCUUGUUUCUACCUCGGUCAGGAUUCUACUGAGGUAGUACACUGCCUGCUCUUUCCCGCCUUCAUUAUUUUGAGCUAGCAAACUCCCGAUUGAUUUAUCUGAAGCGGAGAUAUGUAGCUUUAAGGGGUUUCCCCUUUGAGGUGGUACCAAUACUGGCGGAGAAGUCAAAUAAGCUUUGAUACUAUCGAAAGCCUCUUGGUGUGGUGGUCCCCACUCGAAAUCUUCUUAUCUUUUAGUCUUAGUAAAGGAGUCAGCGGCUGGAUCUUGCCUGCUAGAUUAGUAAUGAAUCUUCUCAAGAAAUUAAUUUGGCACAGCAGCCUCUGGAGUUGCACUUUGUUGGUGGGUGAAGGCGACUCCAAUAUUGCCCGCGCUUUGUUUUUGUCCACUUCUACACCUCUUUGAUGAACCAGGAAUCCCAAUAAGUUGCAUGCUCUCACUCCAAACGUACACUUCUUUGGAUUCAUCUUCAAUUUGUGGAUCCUCAUUCUUGUCAAUGCCUGCCUGAGGUCUAUCAGAUGCUGCUUUUCUGUCUUGGAUUUCACCAUGAUGUCAUCAAUAUACACCUCCAUAUUAUGGCCAAUCAGAUCAUGAAAGAUGGCAUUCAUUGCCCUUUGGUAGGUUGCACCAACAUUCUUGAGCCCGAAUAGCAUGACCAGAUAUUCAUAUGCCCCCACAUGCCCAGGGCACCUAAAAGCUGUUUUAUGUAUAUCCUCUGGAGCCAUCUUUAUCUGAUUAUACCCGGCAUUUCCAUCCAUAAAAGAUAAGACUUUGUGUUUUGCUACUGCAUCUAUGGAUAAAUCUCCCAUGGGCAUGGGAUACUCAUCUUUCGGUGUAGCGCCAUUAAUAUUUCUGUAAUCAACACAACAUCGUAUUGCUUUUGUUAUGGCUUUUAAAAUGGGUACAAUGUUGGCUAACCACUCCACAUAUUUGGCUGGCCUGAUAAAUCCGGCUUUUACUAGCCUCUCAAUCUCUUAUUUGACCUUCUCUUCUAUCUCCUUCGACAUCCUUCGUGGUGCUUGCUUAACCGGCUUAUAUCUUUCCUUGAUGGGCAUUAUGUGUUCCACCAAGGUUGCAUCUAAACCUGGCAUCUCAAUGUAAUGCCAAGCAAAACAAUCUCUGAAUUCUUGCAAGAGACAGAUAAUUUUUGCCCGAUCCUCACUCUCCAAUAAACCACUGAUUUUUAUUGGUCUUGGAUCCUCUUUUGUUCCUAGCUCAAUAACUUCCAAAGGAUCUUGGACCUCUGGUGGUGGCUUAUCAGGUUCUACACACAAAAAUUCAACUAGCUCCGGGCUCUCGGGUAAGUCGUCUGGCCCAUCUAGGUCAUAUAUGCACUCGGCCAUUUAAAUGGCCCUUUCUAAUUCUUCUCGACAAGAUUCCUCCUUGCUUUCAUCCUGGCUGGUUGAAGCUCCUACCUGCCAUUCCUGCUCUUCUCUGUCUAAGAGCUCAUUUUCUUGUCUUCUUCAUUUCCCAUACAUCAACAGUCGUUUAAUCAGGGAUCUGACUGCCAUUACCUGAUCUUUCCUUUUUUGUUCUGUCAUUGAUGGUGUAGGGGUGUUGGGACGAUACAAGGUCUAUCCCACUCUUUUCUAGUAAGGAACAAUCCUUGUUCUAGAAGCUUUUGGGUCGUCACCUUGGUAGGGCGUACGUUCUCAUCUGCUCCUGAACACUUCAAGAUUCCUACGUUGGGAUUGUAGAAACUUGCUUCCGCUACAUUGGCUGUGGGAAGAAAUGGCCGUGAUUCGGCCUCUACCAUCUCCCAAAAGCCUGGCCCUUAUGCGCUUGCCUCAUGAUAAACAGCCACUUCUUAAUGUAGAGUGGAGGGUAUAGCAAGACUUUGGUGGAUCCAAUCUCUUCCGAGUAAGGCUUCAUAGGUGGAGGUGUAGUCCACCACAAAGAAUGCCAGCAUGAUCUGUUUAGACCCCAAAUCUACUUCUAAAGGCAAUAUCCCAUGAGUCUUAGUGAUAGCGCCCGAGAAACUAGAAACUAUGAGGUCUGUAGGAAUAAGAUCCUAUGUGCCUUUCCCCAACUUUUUCAUCUGCUUAGCCGGCAGUACAUUACCAGCUGCUCUUCCAUCAAUCAAAAUCCUUUUGAAGGGCACCCCCUCCAAAUGAGCUGUCACAUAUAUGGGCUUCAGAUGAUUGGCAAGUGAAAUGUUUGGGCAGCUGAACACCAUCUUGUCUGUAUAGAUCCUUAAAGGACCCUCCUUGGAUGCUUCAGAUGAUUCAGCUUUUCCCGAUUUUCCCUCUUCAGCUAUCUCCACAUUGACGUGAGACAUCAUUGGCUCAAUUGUUACGUAAUCUCCUUCCAUGGUGGCGGGCUGAUUUGGUUGGGCACCAAACAUGGUGAAUAGCACAUACGCCAUGUUUAUAUGAAAGUUGCUAGGCUCCGACAGUUCUUCUUUCUUGCUCCCAAUGUGGUCCAUGAACUCAUCCAACCAAGCCAUCGCAUCUGGUGGAAGCAGUGGUUCUGGUGCCCCCUCUAGUUAAUUCACACCUGAAUAUGGUGUUUGCUUUGGAACUUCCCCGAAGGGAUCCACUAAUGAUAGAGAAGGUUGUUUUUUCUCAGGUGAGACAGUUCCAAAACAAAUAGGCUGCUCUGUCUUCCAUCCGGGAGUUGGCACCAUAACCAUAUCUUCUUGAGCUCUCCUCAAGAUUCUAUAUUUCCCAGGGUGUGGGCUUUGUGGCACAUGGUUUCCUUCGCCUUCAGUCUUGCUAUUAGCCUUUUCCACCUCAUGCUUACUCCUCCAGCGGAGCUGACUACUCCCCCCAGAUGACGUUUUCUCCAACUUUUGAUUUUUGGAUGCUUCUGACGUCGCAGGGGUUUUUAAGGAAUUCAUGUAGGCUUUGUGUUGCCUUUGAACCCUUCUGACCAUGGAGGCUCCCAUUUGCUUAACGGGCUGUCCAUUUUUCCCAACCACAUACCAUUUUUGCCCGAGGCGGGCAGGAUUAUCUUUUUUGACAGGGUUUGUUAUCCUAUCAUUCCUCCUGACCUCUCUUCCCUUAUGGUCGUACUGAGAAUGCUCUACACCCCUCUCUUUUGGCUUCUUAGUAUCUUUAUCCUCUGCCUCCUCAGAAACUUCAUGGUUGCGAAAUAUCUCUGAUAAAGCCCUCGGUUGGGAAUCUCCUCCUAACCGCUGAAAGACACUUCGGGAGGUAUCCCUUCCUGUAGUCCGCCGAGCUUUCUCUUGUGCCUCUUUUCUCUUUUCUUCUUCAUUCCUCCUGAUCAGUUCAUGAUCUAUGAGGGCUCCUGUGGGUGGUAUUUCGAGCUCACACUCACAUUGGCACUUACUGCACAACACCAUCCCUUUGAUUAUGGCGGCUCUUGAAUAUUCGAGCAAGUAAACCACCCCUUUUAUGGGUUUGUCAACCAGUUUUCUUUCUUCUUCCCUUGUGACCUUCUCUUUCCCCUUCUCCGCCCAGGCCAUACUGAUCAUAUUUAUAGGGGCCUCUGAGAAGGGAUCCGUAUGUUUAUUCGUCACCGCUGCUUCUUCUGGUUGGUUGAUUUUAAAUCCCCUUUUCUCCAUAUCAUAUUUCUCCCCAAUGUGAGGUAAAGAUAUAGGAAUAGGUGGUCUUAGAACCGGGCCAUCUUCCUUUCUGGACCCUGCGGACGAGUUCUCCAGUCUUUGUAGCAUGUGCAACAAAGCAGUUUGCAAAUCUUCUGAUCCCUUUGACAUACUUCUUUGAUCAAAGAUGUCCCAUUGGGCGUGCCAAAACUAUGUUCGUGGCAGGAAUUUCCGUCGGGGAUGUUUCCUAGCCGACGAGCACACAGUUCCCCGAGAGGUCGGCGCCGGUUGAUGCUUUCUGUCGGGCUUCUGCUUUACUGGCGGGCUUGUCGGGCAAGGCUAAAAGAGAAGGACAGAGUUAACUUUGAAAGGUGUCUUUGUGGGGCCUUAGGUGUAGGCCCUAAGGCUCACAAUCAAGAUUAACUUUUAAGUACUCAGGCGUGCCACUGCCAUCUUCAGCAUGGCAGAUGUAAAACGGAUGUUUGGGUUUUAAUUAUAUAUAUACCCGAGAGACCAUAUUAGUUAUGACAGAUGCCUUUGUAGGGCCUUAGGUGUAGGCCUUGAGGCUUCCCGUUAAUAACUAACUUUAGUACUCGAAUAUAUAAGGUUCAUUUUCUUGGUUAUAUGAGUCUUAUAACCAUUAUACUUCUGAUUACCUGAGCCGGAAGAGCAGAAUGAAUCCAAAUAGGUGCCUUUGUAGGGCCUUAGAUAGGCCUUGAGGCUUCUCAUCAGAACUUCUUCUAUACCCAACGUUCUAGCCUGAGGAACAGAAUGAAUCCAAAUAGAUGCCUUUGUGGGGCCUUAGAUAUAGGCCUUAAGGCUUCCAAUAAGAAUUCAUUCCGUACUCAAACGUUCUAUGGUAAUCAUAAUAUAAUAGAAAUAAAACUAAGUGACUGGUCGAUUACUUGCGCCUCAAGUAACUUCGGACUUCUUGUUUAUCAAAGCUUGUCGUGGAUGGGUUAAGUCCAUAUAAGGUUCUUUUUUUUAUGCCUUGAGGCCAAGGACUUUUGAGUGAUCAAAUCUUACAUGCCCGAGGGCUUAGAACUUAGAUCCGGCUUGAACUGUGAAGACAUAUUCAAAUCGGAUUCAAGCGCUGAGAGAGUUUUUUAAUAGCUAUAUUACUAGAAAUAACUUGAAUACAACUUGUAGUAUACAACAUAUUGCUAGGCUAAUGAAUAAAAAGACAAAAACAAAGAGGGUCGGACAAGGUUUAACCUUGUCAGACAAGAUUGAUCGUCUUGCAACUUCCUAUCUUUGUGGUUUAUCAGGAGGUUUGAAAGCUUAGAAAAGGGGUUGGGAGAUGAGUUUACAGAAAGAAAUCGAUACUGCAGCAAGAGUUGAGCAGGGUAGCAGAGCUAUUACAAAGGGUUUAUCCCGAAAGGGAUGAAGGCUUGGGCUAACUACAGCUUCGUUUUGAAGGUAAAUCUGGCUUUGAGCAGAGUUUGUGCUUGUAUUUGUUGGUUUGUUUGAGUGUCCUUAACUCUGAUUUCUCUUUCUUCUUUUAUAGACACUUUGGCUUGGCCUCCUGUAGCAACAAUCUUGCCUGAAUGCAGUUUAAAGGAUAGUGACUCAUCAUCUAUUUACUUGUACUGCCACUGUAAAGUACUUUUGGGCUGAUUAGCUGGCUGGUCUAUACCACUUGGCCCUUGGGUAGGUGAGCAAGUGGUGCAAAUGAUCUGCACCUAGUCGGGAAAGCCCUUUUCUGCCUCUGGGCUUGGGUUGUGCUUCGAGCUUUUCUCCUCUUUUCUGGCCAACUCCCUUCUGAGCCUAAAGUUUAAGUUUUAACCUAAACAAUAUAUAUAUAUAUAACUCAUAUGAAGAGAUAGGGACCUGGAGGGUAGGAAGUAUGAAGGCCGCCUCUAGCAGUAGCAGGAUGAAGAAAAGAGGAGAAGUUGAGAGAGAGGAAGAGGAUGGAAAUACCAAGCUCCAUUCUGUGAUCUUUGAGGUUGACUAUGGACACGAUGGAGCUAGAUUCAGGAAGCCAUUGUUGGAACUUGGAAGGAGUUAAAGAAGAUGAAAACGUAACGACGAAGAUCGGAGAUGCUGGAUCGCCCGAAAAUGGGCUGCAAAUUCCAAUGGGAACAAAGAAACGGGGACUUCGAUGUAUGGGUUGCAAAUGGAUCUCGGCCCAUUUGUUAAACAACUGUUGUUUGGGCCUAAAUAAGCCAACACACCUACCGGAUGAACCGUUCAAACCGACCGAACCAAACUAAAUUAAAACCUGGGGCGUUGUGAUAUAAGUGCUUGAGUUUUCAACUCUAUAGACUACAUAUAUGUUGGUUUUAGAGAUUUAAUUAAACAUUUUUCCUACAAAUGUGGAGUCUCAUCUAUCAUCAUACCUAUCCUUUAUGUGUACCAAAAUUACAGAUCUUACCACGGCCUAAGUCUUCACGUCAGGAAAAAAAAAUGCAGGGAUAUUGAAACAAAUUUCCUACAAUCUAGCUCCUUUGAUUCCCUCUAAAGAUAAUUAUACAAAAAAAAAAAAAAACUAACGAAAAGUCCAAAAAAACUUCCCUUUUAACGAAAAGCAUUUUUUAAAGGUAUAGUGAAUAGUGACAGUUAAAGGUAAAAAUGUGGUUUUUCAUUAAAAGUGAACAGUACCGGGAGUGUUUUGUUAAAACUCCCAAAAAAAAUGAUUAUAUACAAUUUAUUAAGGAAUAAAAUACCCUGCCUUUUUAUUUUUAUUUUUUUUCCUUUCAAUGAAGAAAUAAAAUACCAUUUAAGAUAUUUGUAGUAAUCCAUAUGCAAAUUUUAGUAGUAAUUCAUGUAAGAAAAUAACAUCGAGAAUAAUACAAACGUACCAGUAAAAAUUAUAUGUAUGAAAACAAACCAACUAAAACCGGAAAUAAACAUACUAGUAAACAACAUUGAAGAACAAAAGUAAAUGUACCAAUCAACAAUAUAUAUAAUAUUAAUCGUACCCAUAUUGUAACAUCCCACAUCGCCCAGAGCACUCCCAAGAUGGGUGACCUACUAGGAAGUUGCUCGUGAGUUCUCAAAAACAAAACCGUGAAGGAAUGGUAAGCCCAAAGUGGACAAUAUCGUGUUAGGGUGGUAGAGCGGGCCUGGGAUGUGGUGGAUCCGGGCCGAGAUGUGACAAAUGGUAUCAGAGCCAAUCCCUGGUCGGAAGUGUGCCGACGCGAACAUCGGGUCCCUAAGGGGGGUGGAUUGUAACAUCUCACAUCGCCUGGGGGAGUGAUCCUUAAAUGUAUAUUAUCAUCCUACCUAGCACGAGGCUUUUUGGGAGCUCACUGGCUUCGGGUUCCAUCGGAACUCUGAAGUUAAGUGAGAAGGAGGCCAAAGCGCUCUCAGGAUGGGUGACCCACUGGGAAGUUGCUCGUGAGUUCCCAAAAACAAAACCGUGAGGGAAUGGUAAGCCCAAAAAUGACAAUAUCGUGCUACGGUAGUGGAGCGAGCUCGAGAAGUGAUCCGCCCCGGACCGGGAUGUGACACAUAUGAUACUAAAUGGGACAAUCCAUAAUGUAUACAAAAACAAUUGUAACAAAAUAGUGAAAAAAACCUAUCAAUCAACAAGAACAAAACUAAAUGUAACGGAAGCAAAAACUAAACGUACCGAAAGCUAAAACAAAUUGUUCCAAAAGUUAAAACAAAACAUACCAAUCAACGAUAUGUACAACCCAAAAUUAAAAAUAAACGUACCAAUCAAUACAAAACCAAUAUAUGAUAACCAACAAUAAACAUACCAUUACAAAUUCAAAUGUAUACAAAAUAAUUAUCUAACAAAAAGUAUACUAAAUAAUAAAGAAACAAAAAAAAUCUAAGCAUCCAUCAUUUCAAUUAUUUUUUCAAUUUUUGGAUAAAAAAAUGGCCGGAUAAAAAAAAAUCUCUCAACUAAUUAAAAGGACAAAUUUAGAAAUCAAUAUGUAAAAUUUUAAUUUAAAAAUUACAAUUAUUAUUUUUAGUUUUAAAAAAAAAAGAGAAAUACUUAUGUGACCUAAUGUACCAAAGCGCCUUGAUCAAAAUUCUAAAAGGGAUGAAUGUGUUUAAUAAAAGAAAUUCAAAUUUUGAGCAUUUAAAUCUAAUUAACUCUUUUUUUUUAUAUACAACAAUACUUUACAUCAUAGGGUUUGAAUUAAAUUGAAGAGAAAUGUCACUAACUAUAUUAGUAGUGACAAAAUUGAUUUUGGAAGUAGUUGUCUAUUUUUGAAGGGAUUUACGACAUGCUAAAUGUAAUUAUGUAAAUUUUUGCCUGUAUUUACUAAUUAGUAAGGAAUUUGAAAAAAACAUUAAUUAUUCUUUAAAAUUCGUUAUCAAAUACCUAAAAAUCGGGAAGCAUAUUAGUAAGGUGCCAUUUGAUCCGGUUCUCUUUUCUUACUUUUCAUAUUUUCCAACUUCUUUCAUUCCUUGCCGCUCAGUACUACGGUUUGGUGGUAUUCAUCUUCACUUGGAAAUGAGAAGUCUUAGGUUCAAAUUGAUGUGAUGAAAGUUAAGCACUCAAAUUAAACCCUCUUGUUGUCAAAUUGUAGUAUAAAUGCAAGUAGGGAUCGUUCUAAACCGGAGAUUAGGAGGGCUUGCUAAAACCUCUAAACUUACUCAAAAACAUAAAAACAAAGUUAAAAACGUUUGAAUAGACUCAAGGGACUCAAAACAGAUUCUAAAGACUCAAAACUGCCUAAAAAAACACAAACUGGGCAGAUUUGACUCUAAUACAAUUUUGGACGAAUUUAGUGUUUUGGUUUGAAUCAAAACACUCAAAAACACAAACAAAACCGAAAUUUAACACUUUGAAACAAGAAAGUAAAAUGGGGAUUUUGGUUUUGAUGAAUUUGAAACAAACAAACAAGUUAUAAAACUAGGCAGAUUGUAAGACAAAUUUGAGGAAUACGAUGAUGGAUGGAUUAGUUAGAGGUCCAUUCUUCACACAUGACACACUUGUACAUGAAUCGAUUUCCAAUUGCUUUUCAAUAAACUAUUAUGCUCAACACCCCAGAUUAACCGUGAUGCACAAAUUAACCCUCAUAUUUUCCUUUACUCAUUGAAUUGGAUGAAUGCAUGCGACAACCCAAAUCAUUCUCUAAAAAUCCCCUAUAUGAAUGCAUAAUAGAGAUACAAUCAGAGAUCAUUACGUUCAAUGAAAAUCAUAAGUGUUGACGAGGCAAUUAUAACGCGAUUGUGAUAAACAACCUUCACUACUCAUGAAUAUAAACUUGUAACGAUUAGGUGAAACUCAUUUAUAUUCUAGCAUCUAAUUCAUGCAUGAAAAUUAAGUAUGCUUCCUUAAUAAACAUACAAGAAUCAGUUAUGAAUAAAAUAGAUAAUUGAAUUGCAAUCACAACUUAUCAAAUCACAAUUGGAAGAAAUCAAUUCAUAUCUCAAGCAUGUUCAUGGCUUCAAACUUCCCCCUAACUAAAUGGGGGUUUAGCCACUCAUAAUUGCAACAAAAUCAGAAAAUGAAUUUAACAUUGGAAACAAAAGAAAGAAAACACAUAAACGCUCCAACGAUCCAAGUUGAAAGCAUGCACGUCCAAGCACUUUCCUUUCCUUCCUUUGCUACGGCACAAGGUGUUGGUGAGUGUUUGAAGGUUUGUUUGUAUGGAGGAAUGGAUGUGAAGAUGAAUGGAUGUGUUUGAAUGAAGGUUGUAUUGAAAUGGGAGUGAAUGAUCUAAGAAAAUAUGAACUCCAUUUAUGUUACACACACUUCCUUUUAUAGAGGAAGUGCAAGGCAAAGCAUGGGUAAAAUGGAGUAGUGUUGAAAUGAUUCAAAUGUGAAAGUGGAGUAAUGAUGCAAAGCAUGGGUAAAAUGGAGUGGUGUUGAAAUGAUUCAAAGGUGAAAGUGAAGUAAUGAUGCAAAGCAUGGGUAAAAUGGAGUGGUGUUGAAAUGAUUCAAAGGUGAAAGUGGAGUAAUGAUGCAAAGCAUGGGUAAAAUGGAGUGGUGUUGAAAUGAUUCAAAGUAAUGAUGCAUGAAAUCUGAAAUGAUGGAGGGAACAAGGAAUGGUGUAGCAAUUAAGUGCAAGGAGGGAACAUGGAUGAUGAUAAGGUAAUCUUGACUCAUGUUUCUUCUUUGGUUGCUGAGCUCUUUGUCAUUUUUACAUUAAUUCUUCUUUCUUUUUAACACAUUCCAAGCCUCUUUAGUCUUCAAUUUUGUCCAUCCACCUUGCUCCAUGCAUGUGCUAUCCAUUCCAAGCCCAAAACUGCUCCAAAAUGCAUCUUAUUGCUUUAUAAGGCCUAUGAACCUACAAACACACGAAAAUAGCUUAAAAUACAUAAUUAACUAAGAAAUAACAACAUAAAUGCAUGAGAACAAGCUAACUCAAUCGCAUAAAUAUGCUCCUAUCACAAAUCUCGUGGUUGGCGAAUUCAAUACCAAAUUUGUGUGGCUUAACAGAACUCUCAUUUCUCUUAGUGUAAAAAUAUAUCAAUGUACUCAAAAAGUUAUUUCAUUCCUUUAUUUUCUCAUUUAUGAUAAGCAAACAUUGAAUUAAGAGAUAUGGAUCCAAUAUUACAUAUCGUGUUUAUGAACGAGCCUUGGUAAGAGUCACAACCUAAUCAUGAGUGAAAUCGUCACAUGUGUAGUGCCAAUGUUUUCAUGCAUAAGCUCACUAAAGGGUCUAUUUCGUUUUCCUACCUCUCAGUUGGUCCAACUAGGUCCGAAAGUACUCCUAAGGUAAAGUAAGGCUCAAGGAAUACAUCGUGUUCACAACAUCAUAACAAUAAUAAGGAAAUACAAUGAAAUGGGUUUAGUGGAGAGCCUUGUGGCGUAGUAAACAUCAAUUUAGGUCAUGAGGACUAGAGGCAAUGUUGACCAACUUCUUAUGUCAAGUUUCAAGGGGUAACAAUGAUCAAAAUCGAGUUGCAAGAGGCUAAGUAGAGCGAACUAUGAGUCUAAGGGAGUAAAGUGGCGAUUUUGAGUUACAUGGAGUAAAGUGAGAUUAAAAUCGAGGGUGUAACUAAAAAUAAGCCCAUUUGUUUACUUUCUUGGUUUGGUCAUGUAAUCUAAAGGUUGUUUGGUUAUUUUCCAAUAAAUAUUGGAAGGCAGACAAACUCGUAAAUCAUUAUGCAUUGUGUUAGUGAAUCGUGCUGAGAACAAGUCAAUCCUAUUUAGUUUCUGCACAAGGAAGGGUACAUGAAUCAUGCUCUAGAUGUUUCCAAUAUGUCAUCAAAUAGUUUGGAUUGCAAUUGUCUCUGAAUCAAUUGAGGUCUACUAUAAAACCAAUUAGCUAUAUGGAGAGUAGUCUAACUACUUAUAAACUCAUGCAAGAUUCUUUCUCCCAUCAACGUAUGACUCAUUCUCAACAUGCCCCUCAUAUGUGAUAAAUUUUCAAGUCUAACACGUGGACAACACAACGGGGUGACAUCAAGCGUGUGUGGUCGUUUUACCGUUUAACUUCACACGUGAAACAACUUGUUCUGGUACCAUGAAGAAAUUGAGCUUCCACCAUAAAACCAAUUGACUAUAUACAGGGCCGACCCAGGCCCAAUGCGGGCAGGGCGACCGUCCAGGGCCCAAAAAAAUUGGGGGCACCAAAAUUAUUAGGAUGAUAUAUUUAUAUAUGUUUUCAUAAGAGUAUACAUUUAUAAAAUUUGGUUCAAGGACAAAGAAAUUUAACUAGAACUAGUGGUUUUGUUGUUUGAAAUUAAUGAGGAGGUCUUGGGUUCAAAACACCGUGUGUGCUUAUUUACUUUUCAAUUUUUACGAAUUUUUGUUUGGUUGUUAAUUUAUUUUUAAUUAGUAGCUAGUAGCUAUGUGGGUUGUUAUUUUUAAAACAUUUGUUCCAAUUCAAGUCUAAUCUUCAAUAAAGGGUAAUGCGUUGACCAAAUUUUUGGACCAAAUUUGAAAAUCAUAUGACGUGUACCCAUUUAUUACUUAUACAUAUCAAUUAAAGACUAAAAAAAUAUCAUUAUUUUUUUAGUCCCAUAUUGACAAGGUUAGUAAAUAAGAAAAAAAACCUCACGAUUCAUACAAAAACACUUUAAAAGUUUAGAUGGAAAACAAAACUCAUAUCUAUCUACUUGUAAAUCCGGAGUUUUUUUGUUUCCUUCUCACGAUACAAAAUAAAUUAGUUUUUCCGUGUUUCUAAAUUAUUAAGUUUGGAGUGUUUUUCUAAGUAUAAUUUUAUCGAUGUCUUACGUAUGAAAACAAAUAAUUUUCUUAUAUAAAAUGAGGGCACAUUUUGUGGCGUCGCCCCGGGCCACAAAAAUCUCUAGACCGGCCCUGACUAUAUACAAAGUAGCCCAACUACUUAUGCUUAUAAGCUCGCGGAAAAUUCCUCUUCCCAUCAAUGUAUGACUCAUUCUCAACAUACUAAGUAGGCUACAGAUUUCAUACCAAAAUCGAAAACCCUUAUCAAUUGCAUCUGACCGAGAAAAAAUUUGGUGAGCCCUUGAGUCAAGGCUACACUAAAUUAGAGACUUUCUCGACCUUCCCAGGUAUGGCAGAAUGGUCCAAAAAAGAAUGAGAGAAGUUUCAUGGUGGGUGACAUAAAUAUUUUCCUCUUAACAAAACAAAGAGACAUGAAAUCCUUUUUAGAAGAAAGUUGGGAACUUUCUCGAAAAUCUUGCACCCAAUCACUUUGGUGAGGAUAAAUGUUAAAGGAAACAAGGAAGCUUCCAAGAAAGUUGGUUUUCCACCUUUGUUUUUUAUUUUUUAUUUUAUUUUAUUUUAUUUUAUUUUUUGUGGAAAAUAAUUAUCCUUCCACUUUAGUCGUACACUAGUUAUUUAUACCCGUUAAAGUAGAAUGAAAUGCUAUAUUAAAGACUUGAAAAAUGAAUUUGCAUAGCAAUAACAACAUUAAUAACAAAGUACAUGGAAAAGUGGGAGAAAAGCUUGAAUUGUGAGAAGAUAGGGAUAAACAUGAUAGUUUAUGAUUGGAUCACAUCACUUAUAACUGUUUUUGGAUUAGGAUGAUCAUAUUUACAAACAAAAAAUUAGUAGAUACUUUCAUACAGGAAUACAAAAAAUAUUGGAGCUAUAUAUUCUACUUUAGCUGUUCUUUGUGCUCUAAAAACUAAACCAGCUUCUGUACACAAAAAAUUAACAAAUGCUGGUAUACGAAGGUGUAAAAAAUAUUGUCCAGCUUUGAGCAGAAAGUGGUAUUUACAAACCACCAAAGAUAUUAGACAAUGUUUAAUACAAAGUAGGAAAAGAUGCAAAAUAUACUGUAGCAGAGGAGGAAACGUCUUGUAGCAGGAGCAUUAUCAGUGUUGACAUUGAGAAACCAUCCUGUACAGAGAGAAAUAAUGCAAGGCAUUUAGACAGUGAUUAAGUUCACAACUGAGUAGUUUUGAAGCAAAGAAUUUAGCAAAAUGAAACCAUACUGACCUAGUUAAUUUUUAGAGGGACUAUCUGUUUUUGCAGAAGCUGGAGGUGAUUUUUUUUUCAGCAAUUUGAUAGGCAUUUCAUCAAAUUCUUUCGAGUCAACUUCUGAAAUUUCUUUUGCUUCACUGUUUUAAAUGACCAUGACUAAUGAGCACAUUUAAUUGGAUAAAACAUAAAAAAUGUUGUCCAACUAUAAUUCGUAUCUCUUUACUCAAAUUUUUUCACGCCCCGAUCCCGACAUACGUUCGGGAUCGACACGUGACGUCAUCAAAUAACCACAUAUCUAACAUACCCGUCCCCCAGGAUAUGUAUCAAGCACAUGCCAUGCCUCGAAUUGCAUAGAAUUUUUCGUAUACUUUAUGGCUGCAUCUAACCUCCUCGUUAAACUGCCUACGUACUCUCAAUAGGGAUCAAGCCAUUCGUAGUUCACCAACCACUAUAAUUGACAUAUAUCACAGUCCGUUUAAGCCGAAAGGCAUAACAUUUCUCAAUCAAUCAAUAGAACUUGACAAGCAUGAAAUUACUAAACUUAGGGUUGCAUAACAAACCCACAUGACAUUCAAGGUUUCCAUUUCAUCCAUCAUAUAAAUCCAUAUGAUUUCAACAUGAUACCUCCAUCCACAGCAUGUAACUUAUCCAAUAACCAACGAAGCACAAUAUUAUUCUCACACCACAUUGAUCACUAAAAUAAUCAUAAUAAUAACCAUCAUAUCCAACAUCACUCCACAAUCCCGUCAAUUAAUCCAUUCAUGAAUCAAGGAUGCAUGAUCUUAGCAUUUAACUACAUUAAUCAAUCAAUACGAUAACAUAUCAUUUCACGUAUUUAGUUAAAGAACUCUAUAUAAUUCCUUACUUGGUUUAUGAGUAAUAACAUAGUAAUUCUAAUUUAUAUUCACAAGGUCUAUGGAUAAUUCCCAUUCACUCGAAUCUAGGUUCUAGACUAACUGUUUGGAAUGUGCAAGAGUAAGGAUUCCGGACCACUCAACGAAAUCCAACCACAUCGGGUUCCGGACCACUCAACGGAACCAAAAUAUCAAGCGAUUUCUUAUAAUCUACUCAGACCUGUCAUAUGCAAAAUUAGUGCCUACAUCAUGGAAAUGGUGCACUGGGCAAUUCAGAACUUGGAUAAGUUGUGAAGCUCAGGUGAGCGACAAUAAUACAAAGUGUGUGAUAAUGGUGAUAAAACCAACCGUCAAUCACAGUUUAUAAACUUUGAAUAUAAAUCAUUCAUAAGAAAUUAAUACCAAACAUUCGCAAACUCCGAAGGAGUCACCCAGACAUCCAAUGGUUCGUCUGAAACAAUCACAACAUCUCACACCCAUAUUCUCAUAUAACACCAUGACAAGUAGGGUUAGAGCAACAUAGUUCGGCCGAAGCCUACAUCUUUGAAGCUGAAAACAAAGACACCAAAGGGAUUCUGGACCACUCAACGGAAUCCAAAUUAGGAUACGAUUCCGGACCAUCACUCAACGGAAUCGCGGAGUAGAAGGGAUUCCAGACCAUUACUCAACGGAAUCCACAUUAAAUUAUGAUCGCCUAUCAAAAUGUACCAAGCACAACUAAUCAUCAUCCCCUCUAAAAUGCGUAUGGUCCUCAAUCGCGGAUAUACCAAGCAGAACCAUAGGCAUAAUAUCUUCGUGCAGGUAGUGAUCACCCAUUGCGGAUAUACCAAGCAUGAUCACUCCUGAAUUCAUAUGAUCCCCCAUCGCGGAUAUACCAAGCAGGAUCAUCUAUUUACCUUUGCUACAUGGGGUAGUUAGAUCAACACACAUACAUCAUACCACUUAUCCACAUCUCAACCCCUAUGAGUUACAACGUAGCCAUCUACACCAUCAACUUCUCAAGGCCAUCACUAAUAUGUCACUCAAGUAUAUAAGUGCUACAACAUACUUCUAAUAGGAUUCUAGGAUCACAUUGUGUAACAUCCCACAUCGCCCAGAGGAGUGAUCCUUAAAUGUAUAUUCACAUCCCUACCUAGAACGAGGCUUUUUGGGAGCUCACUGGCUUCAGGUUCCGUAGGAACUUUGAAGUUAAGCGAGAAGGAGGCCAGAGCACUCCCAGGAUGGGUGACCCACUGGGAAGUUGCUCGUGAAUUCCCAUAAACAAAACCGUGAGGGCGUGGUCGGGGCUCAAAGCGGACAAUAUCGUGCUACGGUGGUGGAACGGGACCCGGGAAGUGAUCCGCCCCAGGUCGGGAUGUGACACAUUGUCAUAAAAAUAAUCAUACUCAUCAUUCACAUUACUAAAAAGAUAAUUAAACUCACAUAUAUCACAACCAUCAUCAGUACACAAGCCAAAUCAUGUUAAUAAACAUAUGUCUACGACUAAAUAUAUAAAAUCACAUUUAUAACACCAAGCCAUAUUCACAAAUGAUAUAAAUAUAAGAAUUUAAAGUAUCUUCAAUUGUAGAAUAUCCAAGUGGUGGACCUAUCUAAAUAUACUCAACCAACAACAUUUCAUAAAUCGAAUGCCACACAUCGAAAAAUUUGACUUUUUUCAAAAAUUCUCAAAUUUUACAAGAAUGAAGAUCUCAAUAAGGGAAACAUUAUUCACAACUAGGCCAACAACAAAUUCUAACCGGAAACCAUCCAAAUUCAUCGGGGAAAACCGGAUUUCUAGGGUUCUAAACACCAAACUCUAAAACGAAUACGAAAACACAAACCAAGCAUACCAACUUGGAGAUUAUGAAGAGUAGAUGAAGUUUCAUACCUCACUUGAAUGAAAUGGUUGCCGGAAUCACCGGAAAACCCACGGGACUUUGCUGCCUCGAAUUGGAAAAGUGGAUAAGAAAAUGGGAAAUCUAACACCACAAGGUUGUAGGGCUCGUCAAGAGCUUUCCAUGGACACUAAGAUCACUCAAAACGGAGCUCGGAUGAAGAAGAUAUGAGCGGGUCAACUAUGGUGGUUCGUGGGUCCAAAAUGACCCAUUUCGGGUCUCUCUCCUUUCCCCUUCUUUUUCCAUUUUUCUGAUUGGUUCUUCUCCCCCUCUAAAAAUCUGGUUGGUCCCCCCCCCCUUUUUUUUAAAAAAAAAAAACUAACUUAACCUUUAACCCACAUGUGGGAAUUUAAUAAUUCCCACAAUCUAUAGUUCACAACUUCAAACGUCCAUAACUAUACCGUAUAAUUCAGACUCGCAAACGGCUUUCGCCUAUGCGUUCGUGAUUUCGAGAUCUCUCCAAAAAUAUAAAUUGUGACCUCGAAAGGUCUACGAAUUUUAGAUAAUUACUUUCUAAACUUCAAACUUCGUAACUAAUUUAAUUAAAACCUAAAUCCAAAUAAAUUAAUAUAAUUUCUCAAAAAUAACAUAAAAUCUCAAUAAUACAAUUACGUAGAUUAUAACAGUGAAAUCCAGGAACGAGAUUUUACAAAUUUUGUCUUUAAAAAAAAAAGAAAAGAUUCUUGAUAGGUAUAUAUUAAGCAAAGCAAGAUAGCCAGAAGAUAUGAAUAUUUGAACACAGGGAAGUGAAAUAAAAGUAUCAGAUUUUAUGGUACUACGGAUUUUGAAUCUAUACCUUUGUUCACUGCCAGUAAAAAGAGCUUUCCUCACAGACUCCCUCUUUCGUUUAUUUGAUUCUCCGCUUGUUUCAGGUGGUGAGGUCGAAGAUGAUACAGUAGUGGAAGAUAUUGCGACUGCUCUUGGUAAGAUUUGUGGAGUUAUUGGUUCUAUAGCUGUAUCAUCGGACACAUUAUAAACCAACACAUCACUUGAGUUGAAACUAUUUUUUCUAUUUCCGAAUCGCAAGUGGAAAAUCUUCUUUUGUCCAAUCAGUCGCAAAAACUCAUUUGACAGUUGUUGUUGGUUAAUCAAUCUCUGAUUCAUGACCAAAUCUUUGCAGGGCAUACCAAAGAGUUUUUCUCCAGCUUUGCCAAUUAUCAAAGCACUAAUUUCAUUAGUGAUGUCUUCAAGAAUCAAAUUAACUUUGUACCUAUAUUUAAAAACUGAAUUCCAUGAGUUUUAUUUUAUUUUAUUUUUUAUUUUUUUUAUGGCUUAUAACUCAUUGUUAACAAUCAGAGCAAAGAAGUUUAAAGAACAGAGGUCACAGAUUUGAAGUCAUUUUUUAGUUGGAAAGAAACAACAUGGAAUUGAAAAUCGUAGAAAAAGUAAAAAAAAGACAGAGUAACAAACUUGCAUAUUGAAUGUUACCAUGGUGUUGGACUUUGGUUGGUGUGUUUCUGACAGAUGAGUUGUCCGGUCGAUGGGUCCUUGUGCAUUUGUUUGACACAGCUAAGGCAAGCAUUGUACCACCAAUCAUAACGUGUGUCAAAAUGUUUGACAGAUGCUUUACAUAGGAAUGUAUCAUUUUGUUAAAUGUUUUAUGACACAUGUAUCAUAAAAGAGCAACAACAAAAUUAGUUUUUGUUCAAUAUGUAAAAAUGCAGGUAAAUGUUUUUUUUUAAAGAUAGAAAAGCAUAAAUCGUUUGUAUACCUUAUACAAAUCAGGAUCCAAAAAGGCCAGCUCGUCUAUUGUUACUCUUCUUGCUGUACGCAAAAUUUCAGCCUCAUUUGCCUGCCUUGAAGAAGGAGGCAGUAUUUUUACAGGGACUUUACAGGUUGAGAACCUGCAAGUUUAAAAAGAAAAUAAGAAAUUUUGAAAAAUCAACAUGUUUAGAGGUUUGAACAUGAAGGACAAUUUUAGAAGUGCACUAACUUUGAUUUAUAUGAGUUAACCUCCAGGAUGUCUGAGUCGAUGAAAAAAAGGGAGGAGCCAGUACUAUUCAAGACGAUGUUCUCUGUUGAUGGCAAAAAAUAAUAACAUAAUUGUAAAACAAAUAUUAGCAAAUAGGGUAAAGUACAAAAAACUACCUCAACUAUUAGUGUAACGACACUUUCAUACCUCAUCUUUUAAAAUUGACAAUGUCAUACCUCAUCUUUAGAAUUUGGUCCAAUGUUACACCUUUCGUUACUUGGCCAUUUACUUUUCAGUUAAAUGCUGACGUGGCUUGAUCCGGAACCCAUAAAAAAUUAUUAAAAACUAAAAAAAUAUAUUUUAAUAAUUUUUAAAUAUUAAAAAAAAAUUAAAAAAAAUUAAAAAAAAAAACCCUUCCCUUCCCCGCCUUCUCUCUCUUCUCCCCCAUCUUCAUCUUCUGUCCCCUUCCAGCUCCCUUGAGGAGGAGGAAAAGAACCUAAAAAAAAAAAAAAAAACCGAACCUGGGUUCAACAAGAAAAAAAAAGAAAAAAAAAACCCGAAUCUAGGUUCAACAAGAAGAAGAAGAAGAAGAAGAGGAAGAAGAACUGGGUUGCUCCGGGCGGGGGGGGGGGGGGGAACUGGGUUUGAUUUGGUUUUUUUUUUUUAUCCUCCUUUUUCUUCUUCUUCUUCUUCUUUCGCUGGGGGGGUUUACUGACGGGUUUUUUUUUAAUAACUUUUCUUUAUUAUUUUAAUAUUUAAAAAUUAUUAAAUGAUUUUUUUUAGUUUUUAAUAAUAUUUUAUUAAUUUUUUAAUAAAAAUUGGGUCCCGGAUCAAACCACGUCAGCAUUUAACUGAAAAGUAAAUGGCCAAGUAACGGAAGGUAUAAAAUUGGACCAAAUUCUAAAGAUAAGGUAUGACAUUGUCAAUUUUAAAAAAUAAGGUAUGAAAGUGUCGUUACACUAAUAGUUGAGGUAGUUUUUUGUACUUUACCCUAGCAAAUAUCAUAGAUGAGUAAAUGUUUUUAAUUGGAUGAUAGAUGUUUAAAUGCGAGGAAAAAAGUGUAAUGGAUACAUAUAAAAAUGUGGUAAAAUAAUUUGAACAUGCAAUGCUAGAAACGAAAUACAAACUGUAACAAACAGGUUCUAACAUUUUAUAAAUAAGAAAUAAAAAAGAAAAAAAAUAAGACAUCUAAAUUCUGUCAUCAAGAGUAGCAAUCAAAUACACUAAAAUUCCAUAAUGAUAAAAGAGUGGAACAGUUUAUAGCAAGAAAUGUAAGAACAUAUCCAAAUAAAGAUAGAAAAAGUGGGUUUUAAUUAAAUGAGCUACCUAGGUAAAUCUUGACUUUUAAAUUUGUAAAUACAACAAUAAUCGGCAAAGACAACUUCUGGAUCAAUAAAGAACAAAAAGUUUCUACAAUAUUUGCCCACAAUGUAAUAGACAAUUCUUCUUUUCUGUGCACAAAACAAAUGAGAAACAAACAGUAAAUUUUCUUCCCAGCCUAACAAAGAAAAUGAUAUUAACAAAUUGGAAUUGCAACAGUUAAAGAAAAGAACAACCUGAUAUUCUCAAUGUGUAUGUCACUUUUGCGCUAUUCUUUGAUUAAUCUGUUUUGAUUCCAAUUGCUGGACCGCAGUUAUACGGCCAAUCACAUCUUACAAUUUAAAAAGUUAAUACAAAAAUAAUGUGAAAACUCAUUUUAGUGAAAAAAACAACAUAAAUGUUUUUAAUUGAUGGACAUGUAGAUACACACACACACACACACACAUAUAUAUAGACAGAUAUACACGUAUUGAUGUUACCUGUAAGAAUAUCAUCUUUGUUCAGACGGGGAUAGAGCAUGUUGAAAUCUAGUAGGAAAAACCGAUGUUGAAGGAUAGGUGGAAAGACAGUAGACAAUUUUUUAAACACUGUUGUACCAAUGAAUAUAACCUGGGUUUCAUGCGACACCACUUUAUACCGUCCUCUGAUUUUGAUUGUGCUAAAAUUCAUGAUUUCGUAACAACUACCAGCGUCAAUCUUUGAUGCUACCAGUUCACAAUCGAUGUCUGACGUAGAUGCUUCAACCGCAUUGUUCUUUGUAAUUGAUCACACGCCAUAUUAAGGAAAAACAAAAAAAGAAUAAUAACAGAAUUAAAAAACACUUUAGACAUGUUAAAAAAUCAAACUGUUAAAUAUAUAUAUAUAUAUAUAUAUAUAUAUAAACAUAAAUAUAAAUUAACAAACUAACAAAUGAAAAAAAAAAUAAUAAUUAUGACAUAACUAUAACUGUUAAAAUACUUAAUUUAAAUUAUGGAACAAUGAUGGCUUACCAUUUCAUCAACCAAGAUACACUGUAGUGUUACGUAUUUGCAAACAGUUGCGGAAUGCUAGAUUUCCAUAUCCUACAGACACGAACCUUUAUUUUCUCCGCUUUAAUGUAAGGACGCAAUUCUGCAAAAUGGGUGACCUUAACUGUUUCCAUUGAAUCUAUUAAAAGAGAAAUAAAUUUUAUAAAUAUAAGAAUCAACAUAACACAAAUCUGUAAACAAAUAUGAAAGAAAGGAUUGAUUUCUUUCAUUCCUAAUUAAAUAAAUGGUUAAAAUAAUUUUAACAUAACUAUUACCGAUAAGCACUACAUAAACUCGAAAUUCCAAAAAUAAAAAGGACUCAGAAAAGAAAUAAGCCAACCAAAAGUAAUUAAAGAACUAAAUUUGACAAAAAAAAAUACAGUUCAUAUUACAAUAGUAAGACAAAUGAUCACACAUUAACAGAUGACAAAGAAUAACUAUUAUGAAACACUUAACACAUUAUGGAAGCAGUAAAACAAUAGUUGGAAAAAGCAAAUUAAAGAGGAAACCAAAUAAUCAAUUACCAAAAGUAAAACAAAAUGUGAAGCACUUGUCCCAAAAGGGAAAAGCAGGGCUAAGGUGAUAUAAUCAAUUACUUUCCCACACUGCAAAUGCAUAAACCAAAAAGAAAAACACUUACUAAGUUAGUUUUAAUAAGUUAAGAAAGAAAUAAAAGACAACUAUGUCUGUCAGGUGGCAUGGGUGUAAACUGUUUUUUUUUUCCUUCCAUAAAUAUAAGUUUACAUUAAUGUGAAGCGGAAAUAAACACAAAUUUGAAACAAUCAGGUAUCCAUGGUACUAAGCUAAAUUUCAAAGCAUUGACAACAAAUUUAAUAUUCUAUAGCCCCAAAGGAUCACCAGACAUUUAACCAACUAAUUAAUAAAGCAUUUGAGCAUCACAUGACUGAAAACCUAAAUCUCAAGCUUUAUAUAUCGAUGUGCACGGAAAAGAACUAACUUGACAACAAACAAUAUUAAUGCAAAUGUAUAGAUAAAGAAAGAAAUCCAAAACGUUUGAACACAAUUGUAGAACAAAGCACAUCGCAUUGUGAUCUUGAAUUGAUCCCCCACUAACAAUCUAAUACUGCGAACUUAUUUAAGUUCAAAAAUAAUAUAAGAUGUUAAACCUGAAUUAACAAAUAUACAACCUAUAUAAAAAAAUAAAAAUUAAAAAGUAAUUUUAAUUAAGUAUACAAAAUUGGAAAGCAGGAUUUAAUAUGGAAAAAAGGAUACAAAACUGGAAUCUAAGUAUCUGUCCCAAAGGUAUAUUUACCGUUGAAAGAGAAACCUAAAUUGCUCACCCAGAUUAUUAUCAAAUAAGGAACGUUUGAUAAAAGCAGCAAAGCAAUGUUUCAAAAGGGAUGACUCAAAAAGAAACCACAUAUUACAAAGACACAAACAUUACUUAUCGAAAGCAGAACAAAACGUCAAACACGUGUGCAAGCGGUAAACUGUAUAGUCAAGGAGAUAAUAAGAAUUUUCCCACAUUGCAAAUAGACAAAUUAAAAACAUAAACACUUAGGAAAUCAUGUUUAAUAAGCUGAAAAGGAGAAAAAAGACUAUACUUUUCUUAGAUGUCAUAGUUAGAAACUGUCUUUUAAUCCAGAAACCAAACUCAUCCAUUAGGAAUGGACAGCCAGCCUGGGCUCAUUAAAAAGCUCAACAAAAUAUAGAACCAAAGACUUACCCAUCAAUGCAUAAGUAAAGGAUUAACAUAAAAAAUAAAAGAGUGAAUCAUAAAAAGCAAGACCGCAAGUCACAAUUCUAGAAGAGGAAAACAGAAUGCUCACAACUAAAGCAACGGUAUCAAUAUUGUUCUACUAAAUUAUACGUUAUAUGAUGAGCAUUAUUUUGAUUGAGAUAUCUCACAUGUCAAAAAGUGAAGAAAUUCCAACGAAGGUGACAACCACAUUAUAUAAAGAAUAAACCUAGACCUAGUUGAACACGUAUAAUUUGUGAAAAAUCACAGGUUGCAUAAGGAAGAUUUUGAAAUAUGCAUCUCAAAACAGAUACCAUCUAAUUAUGCUGCUUCACAAACAAUGUUGCCGAUGAACUUAUGCUUCUCCCUUAUGCUGGAUUCGAAUGAUAUAAACUAAGAAAACCCCAUAUUAAAAAUCAAUAGCCAAAUACUAAAUAUACCAUCUAAUUCACCAAUUGCAUCCUCUGCAUCUCUAAUGUGAUCCAAGUGAACAAAAGCAUAACCCGGUGGUCUCCGAGCAACCCACACGAUUCGAAAUUAACAAUACAAAAGAUUAACAACCAUCCUCCAUAAAAAUAACACCACUUUAUGAAUCUGUGGGUAAAUGACUACAAACAUUACAAAAGGUGUUGUUCUUUUCGUCGAUAAAUUGCGGGAUUCAUCAAAAUCCGUCAAACUCCCACUUCAAUUUUACAAAAGCAACACAGAAAACAAAGUUUAACAAAGGGGCACAGCGACAACAAAGUUGCAACAGAUUGAGGAAAAAUGUUGAAUCAAACCAUUGGAUAACAUUUUCUCACGCACCCAAAAAAACCCACAAACUGAAAACCACAAAAAUCCAGUCUAAAACAUGGAAUGAUAUACUUAGAUGCACAAAAGAUAAACUAACAAAUUCAAAACGAAAUAAAAAUAAUUAACAAUAAGCAAGCACACCAUCCUUCGAAUUAAAAGCACAUAAUUUCAAAACUCCUCACCUUAAACACAGAUGUCUUCGCAUGGUGCAAAUAAAAACUUACAUUGAUUUCAUAUUUUCCGAGCAACUCAGGCUGCACAAUUGCACAAAACACCGACUGAAAGCAACAACACGAAAACUUGCGACGACUCGAAGCAGGAAUUUUUUAGGCAAAAAUGAUUUGAGGUGUGAGAACGACCGCGAAACAAAGAUGGAAAUAAGAGGAAACAAAAUGGAACAAAAUAUACCCAAACAAAGUACCACGCGAUGACCAACACGUGGGCCUGACAAAACUAUACUGCAACUGUGGCAAAAACAAAUACAACCACAAAAAAAGUGAAACGAAGUUUAAUUCCGUCAAAGACAACCAAACAAAGGGCAUUGGUGUAAUUUUACUGUACAAAAAGCUAAACCAAACGGAACAACAACAUCAAAACGGAGGACAUUUUCGUCCGUGAAUAGUAGCGCGGUUUUGGGGUUUUAGUAUAGGUCAAUGACUAAAAUAUCGAUAAUAUCUGCGAAAUAUCGUCGAUAUUAUCGUUUUUCAGAGAGACCGAUAUUUUCCCAUGUAUCCCCCUAAUUGUCGUCAAAAUAUCACGAUAUUAUCGAUAAUAUCGCGAUAUAUUCGAUAUUAUCAAAACAAUCGUCGUGGCUCUGUCGUCGGAAAGGCAGCCGAGGCUGUGUCGUCGCAGCUGCCCAUAUCUCUCUCUGCAAUCCAGGCUUAGACACAAGAUAUGCACCUCUAUCGUCAGAAAUGAAAAAUCUAUUUUCUUCGGAUCCCAAAACCCGUUCGGGUUUGAAUCAAACAGUUUGAUGGAUCCCCUUGCCUGAUGGUGGUCCCCGGGAGGUGAGAAAGGGAGGAGGAACGGUCCACAGGUGGUGAUGGUGCUCGCCGGAGUGUGCGCCACUGUGGUGCUCGACGGGUGUGGGUGUGGUGGUCUGUGCUCCGGGGGAGAAGAAACAAAGACAUGAAUGAGGGAGAAGGUUCGAAGGAUUGGGGAAGGGGGAAAUACGGGAAAGUGGGGUGUGUGUGUGUGUGUGUGUGUGUGUGUGUGUGUGUGUUUGCUCUGGGAAGAAGACUUACAGAGAAAAGAUGAGGGGAGAACCGGAGAUGAAUGAGGAGAGGAAUGAGGGAAAAGGAAGUGGUAUGUGCGUGUGUGUCUGUGGAAGUGGGGUGUGUGUGUGUGUGUGUGUGUUAUCCGAUAGAAGAAAAAAAAAUCCAAACCUGUUUCAAAAUAUCCAGCCCAUGUGUCAAUCUGUGUGUGUUAUCUGAAAGAAGAAAAAAAAAAUCUAAACCUGCUUUCAAAAUAUCCAGCCCACGUGUCAGUGAUCGUGAGGUUUGGUCUUAAAUAUUUUCACCCUGUUUUUUGAAGUUACUGGAAAUGCAAACUUCACGCAUGCAACACAGGAUGAGGACCAUGGCAGUAGGCGGGUAGGACCAAGAAUUGGUGCCAUAGGGAAGGACUACACUCGUAGAGAAAGAGGUAAGGGGACUUUGUCAAGUCAAGAAGAUGACUCGUUAUUUAUAACUUCGGACUAUGUUGGAGUGGGAAGUAGUAACUAUGGUUAUACUCAUAACCAACCAUUUCCCUACCCUUCAUAUCACAUUCCUGUUGGGAUGAAAUUGAGCGACUCGUGGAAAGAAUCUGAGACUCAAUCUUCAAAUGAUUUUGCUUAUGGACAACGUCAACCAAUCUCGGAUUCAUAUGGGUGGCAUGUUAACAAUUACAUGCAAAACUAUUUUAGGGAUUUAUCAUUUGAUGACUACUCUUCACAAUACACUUACUCUACACAUAGAGAUUAUGAAGAUAGUCAAAAUUUUGAACCUCAUAGGAACUUUAUGUGGUACUAAGUCACUCAUGUAUCUUACCAUGUAAUGUAUAAAUUGUAAAAUAUUGUACUAAUUCAUUAUAUAUAAAUGAUUAUGGUGUGUUUAAACUUGUUUCAUUAAUUACUAUAUAUUUUCUAUACUCACAAUGUUUGUCAGCUCGCUAUAUAAUCAACUUAAAUCAGUUAAAUUCAUCAUGCAAUGCAUUUCCUUCCAAUUUUUUGUGAUAAACUAAUAGAUAAUUAACUAAAUAAACAUUCUGCAAAGUUUCAAUAAAAAUUUCCAAGUUUUUCUUACAAUUUCCGUGGUUUUUAUUCAAUUUUUAUCGAUAUCGAUAAUAUCUGAUAUUUCCAUCGAAAUUUCCGUGUUUUUGAACUACCGAUAUUUCCGAUAUCAUCGAUAUUUAAUACCUUGGUAUAGGUAUAAAACACAAAGAAAGUACCACGCGAUGACCAACACGUGAGCUUGACAAAACUGUGAUGCAACUAUACCAAAAACAAAUACAACCAAUAAAAAAAGCGAAACAAAGUCCAAGCCAAGCAUAACCUGCAUAUAGCUAGGGGUGGAUUUUUUUGCCAAAUUGUCGUGCCAAGCGAAUUGUCAACCGUGCCAUACCGAUUUUGUGCCAAAUUUUUUGUACCAAUCGGUAAUGGUACGGUAUUGUACCGUACCGAAAUUUCAUAGUACGGUAUUGGUAAUGGAUACCAUUACCACGGUAUUACCGUACCAUACCGAAAAUACAAUAUAAUAUAUCAUUUAUAAAUUAUAUAAUAGAUAAUUAUAUAACAUAUUUAUAAUAUUCCAAUAAUUUGAAAAUAAAACCCUACUUAUAUUAGCAUUGUUGUUGGUGACUUGGAUAUCUUGAAAUUGUGGAAAUCAAACAUAAAAGAGUUCCUAAUUCUUUCAUAAAUAGCCAAAAUAUCUUUGUAACCCUCACUUCUACUGUUGCUAGUGAAAAUGCAUUUAGCCUAGGGAGGAGGGUUGUGGACCCUUUUAGGGUAUCCUUGACUCCUAAAAUAAUGGAGGCACUAGUGCAUACUAGUGGUUGGCUUAGGGCAGAUGAAGUAAACUUCUACAAGGAACCAACGGAAGAUAUGCUUCAAUUUUACAAGGAAAUGGAAGAAGAGAAAACAAGAAAGAUAUGCUUUAAUUUUUUCAGUAAAUUUGUUAUUAAAUGGUUUUCAACUUUAAUUCUUCUUGCUACUAAUUAAUAUGUUUUCUUUGUUUGUAAUGUAGGCUUGACACAAACUCAAUCUUCUACAAGUUCAAUGCCUCCUCCAAAAGCUUUGACAUCUCAAGCUUGAAUAACUGAUCAAUGAAUUCUCCUUUUUGAAGUUUACUUCCAAUUUUCAUUUGCUUUGAAACUUUAAUUUCUAUUUGGAUUGUUAACUUCUAUUUGUUUUGGUUUGUAACUUCUAUUUGGAUUGUAAGCUUAAUUUUCAUGAUGAAUCUUGAUGCAUAAUUUGAAUUAUUAUGUGUGUGAAUUGUGAAUGAUGAAUUUAAUCUAUAAUGUAUGAGAUAAAGGUACCCAAAAAAAGUUUUUCCCUUGAAUUGGGUUAAAAAAACAAAAAAAGAUUUUGUCCCAAAACAAAGUGGCGAUUACCAUUGCCAUUUCAUGCCAACCGAACUUUUGGCAAUACCGAACUUCGGUAUACCGAAAGUUUGGUAUGGUAAUGGUAAUAGAUUUUACCAAAUCGAAAGUUUUGUACGGUAAUUGGUACAAGGGUUUUGGUACGGUAACCGUACCGAACCCACCCCUACAUAUAGCACCAAAUGACGGCAAAACUGUAAAUUCACUGUUCUAAGCAGGGAAAAAAAGCCUCAGACUCAGCAGCAGUGAAGGGGAAUUACGUCAAAACACUGUUAUAGAACAGUACCAAAUCAAAACACUGUUAUAGAACAGUACCACCCGGUUUGGGUUUUGGUAUAUAUAAAUUUGUUAACGCGCUCCUUUUAGCUUUUCCUCUUGAAUGAAUAUUGGAAAGUGAACAGCUUUUGCAUCGGAAUUUCCUCGUUGCUUCUUUCAAGGAGAUUUACAUUGCAUCGAAAUAUUAGAGCGGUGUGGCUCAAUUAUCUCAAUUUUGCAUCCUAUAUUAACUUUGUGACAUAACAACACGUAAUAAAUUAGUUAUACCGUUGUCUUGACGUUCCUAUUUCACGUUAGAGGAAAAAAAAAUAAUGAGUGUUAAGUGUAUAACCAUUUCUUAUCCAUAGCUUCUAUUUCUUUUUCUUUUUUUGGACCAUUACCAACUGUUUUUUAUAAGGAAUUUUAUGGUACUUGAGAAUAUGAGAUCUCCGAACGUUUUAACCAUUAAAAUCUUUGUUUAAAAAAUACAAAUAUAUCAGCCACUUAGUACUACAGUUUAGUUGUAUUCCUCUUUACUUAUAAGUAAGAGAUCUUAGGUUCGAUUCUCAUCAAAUGCGAAUUUAAAUCACAUUAUUGCUUGCUAGCCCAUUGUAAGGCAAAACCCAACCCUCCCCUUAGUGUAGACAAUAUUGUUUGUUAAAAAAAAUACAAAUAGAAAAAUAUAAUAGUUAUAACACCCGAGUAUCAAUUUAGUACUACGGUCUAGUAGUAUUCAUCUUCACUUGUAAGUGAGAGAUCUUAAGUUCGAUUCUCGCUAAAAACAAAUUUGAAUCAAAUUAUUGCUAACCGAUUAUGAAGCUAAGCUCACUCUCCUCUCCUUUAGUGUAAAAAAUAUCGUUGUUAAAAAAAAAUAUAAAAAAUAUAAAAAAAACCCGAGUAUCCCAUACUACAAACCAUCCUAAUUUUUUUUUGUUCUUCUCCCACUUUAGGAUUUAGGUAAACAAUUAUACUAACUUUUCUUUGUCAAAGAAAUAAUUUACCAUCUGACACUAUAACCCACACUAAACCGUGUGGUCACCACCACCACUACUACCAAUGGAAGUACCCAGGUUGUCCAUCUCUCUCCCGUUUGUUUCCAUUACUACCUCUCUGUCUCUCAAUUUUCUUUCUCCUACAACUUUGCCGUGAGAAUUCUUAGUGUGAUUUUUUCUGCUCUUUUUCUUACCAUUUGUCAAUUACACAUCUAUGUAACACUUAGUCUUCCUUUCUCUGUUUUUUAGGAACCGAAAGGCGUAUGCUGCCUUUCUUUUUCUCUAUAAAAAAACUGAAUUAAAUUCCGAUUACAAAUUACUCCGGUAUUUACUAAAUACUAGGGAAUCAAUAAUGUGAUGGACCCCACCCGAAACAAGGAAUGCAAUUCCUGAAAUUGGAGGAGUGGAUUCCUUGGAUAGAUUAGGUAUUUGAAUUACAUGAGGGUGAGGGAAUCAGGAAUGCAUUUUUUCUUCCUAUUAAGCCUUCAUUCACAUCAUGCACAACUUCAUACUCAUUCACAUCAUGCACAACUUCAUACUCAUUCACAUCAUGCACAACUUCAUGCACAUGCCAAAAAGAAGAAACUACAAUUUGAGCGAGAAAAUUUAAAUAUUAAAAUCAAUACUUAAAUUUAUAAAAACAAAUAAACAAAUGCAUUUUAGUGUGCCUACAAAAUAAAAAAAGCAAUUUAAUUUUUUUUUCUUACUAUUAUAUAUUAUAUCAAAUUUUAUUAAAAAAAAGUAUAUAAAAUAUUUGAUUUGGAACAAGAGCAUUUUAAUAAUCAUACUAGUUUAUAUUCCGAUUCUGCUAAAUUAGUAAACAGCUUUAUGGAAUUAGUAUCAUUUCUAUUCGGAUUCCAGAACAUUUAAGUAUACAACUUCAACAGAAAUUCGAUUCUAAUUUCUCAUUAAUUUAAUUCCUUCUAUUUUUAUUACAGUUACGUAAAUGCAUCAUUAGUUCUUCUUUCUCUGUUUUUUAGGAACCAAAGGGCGUAUGCUGCCUUUCUUUUUCUCUUUGCUGGUGGGAACCAAAAGAAAAGCAUCCAAUGCCUUAUAAUGCUGCUGCUUUUGUUUGCUUUCUCUGUUUUCAAGGAACCGAAAGGUAUAGGCGGCCCUUCUUUUUCUCUAUGCUGAUGGGAACCAAAGGAAAAGCAUACAAUGUCUUGUAAUAUUAUCCGAUGGAUGACUUGAUUAUAAUUUUAUAAAGCCCUCUACGUUAAAAUUUGGCCAAAAUGGCAUCAGUCUAGUUAAAUAUAGCCCUCUCUUAGUUAUUUUUUCGAUUCAUCUGCUCAGUUGCAAUAACUGAUAACAUCAAAUGGUAGUUUAACUAAAUCAACCAAUAAAUUUAAAGUAUGAACUGAAAAUUAAUAAAUUAUUGAUAGGUCAUCUCUAGGCCAUUCGGUUGAAGAUGAUAUAUGAGUUUGACAUGUCAUUGUUUAUUCAAAAAUAUUUUUUUGCAUAAUUAUAAUUCUAAAUGAGACUAUGUUUAGCUUUUUCGAUUGGAGAUUGCCUAAAGAUCUGCCAAAGCGAUCAAACAAAGAUCAUUUAACCGUGGUUAGUGUGACCAAAACUUGAAAGUAGAAUUAACUAAACUGAAAGUUUUCUCAUAACUCUAUGGUUACACCAAAGCUCACCUUCCUUGCCUUUUUGCAUUGGUAAUGAACAAAUUAACGGAAUAUGAUCAGAGAGAUACAUGAAUAUGGACCUAGCUUCUCUGCCCUCCCAGUUCCCAUACACUCUCAUCCCCUCCUAUUUGUGCGGUCAUGAUUAAGCCACAUCAACAUUUUAUAUUACUAUUGAUUUUUGUCUUAUUAUCUCUAUAAAAAAUCAAUUCAGAAUAUAUAUUCAUGGGACCUGGCUUCUUUGCCCUUCCAGUUCCCAUACAUUCUCGUCCCCUCAUAUUUUGUGCGGUCACGGUUAAGCCACAUUAACAUUUUAUAUUACCAUUGCUUUUUGUUUUAUUAUCUCUAUAAAAAAUCAAUAUAAAAUAUUAACAUGGCUUAACCGUGACCGCACAAAAUAUGAGGGGACGAGAAUGUAUGGGAACGGGAAGGGCAAAGAAGCCAGGUCCCGUGAAUAUAUAUUCAGAUAAGAAAGUUGGGAACUUACACACAAGUCAGAAGUCUUGCAUCCAAUUGCUUUGGUGAGAAAAAGGCAACGAAGAAUAAUAAGGGCUGGUUUGGUAUUGUGUGCUUUGAAAAAAAGCUGCUGUGAGAAUAUGAAAUAAAGCCAGUAGAGUGUUUGGUAAACUUUUUUGUGAAAGUGCUUUUGGAAAAAAAAAAACAGGAUGAUAGUGUGUCUUUUCAUUAAAGGAGCACUGUAGCUCCGUGUGCUUUGAAAAAACUGGCUUUUUUUCAAAGCAGCAAAUAGCAGCUUCAGCUUUUCCUUUGAUUUUCAGCUUAUUCUCACAGCAGCUUCCAAAAUAAGCCCUUUUUUUCAGUUUACCAAACACAAAAAUGACCCUCAGCUUUUUUUCACAGUGGCUUUUUUUUUAAAUCACCUCAAUCCCAAACGGGGCCUAAGUCCCAACAAGGAAGCUUCUUGGAAAUUACUCAUCAGUCUUCCACUCUUUUUUUUUCCUGGAAAAUUCUUCUCCUUUAACUUUGGUGGUACAUGUGUCGACGUUUUUUCUUCAGCUUCUCUUCUUGAACGAGUAUUGGAAAGUGCACAGCUCUUGCAUGUGGAUUUCUUUGUUGCUUCUUUGAGGGAGAUUUAUAAUGCCCGGAAUCAUUAGAGCGGUGUGGCUCAAAUUUAUUCUCAUUUCGCAUCGUAUUUUAACUUUGUGGCAUGACAACACAUAAUAGUUGAUUACACCGACGUCUUGACGUUUUGUUUAUAUAAUUUAUUCGUUCUUUCCCACAUAUAAUGUUUUCUGUUGAGAGUUUAAUUUGCUUUGUUACUUGAUGGUUGUGUGAUGGUGUUGGUUGGUGAUGGAGCUGCUUGCUAGGUCCUUCCAACUGAUCUUUGGUUCAUUACUGGAUGACAACGUUUGAUCGCUGAUGUUCUCACUAAAUUAGUAUGUAUUCUUCCGUUUCAUCCAAUUUUAUCUUUAUACUUAUAUGAUGAAACCUUUUUUUUUGUUUUUUUUUUUGUUUUUUGUUUUGAGAAGUUAUGUGAUGAAACAUUCAAAUCAUUCAAAUGAAACCAAUCUUAGAGGUUAGAUGCAGUGGACCUGUAGUUUAAUUUGAUUAAAGGGAGGUAUGGCUGAGCUCAUUUUUUUUAGUAGUAAGUGUUGUGCGGAAACGUCAAAUUUGAACCCAAUAAACUAAUACAGAAAAAUUUGACAAAACAAGCAAUUCAAAGUGACACAAGGUUUUAUACUAGUUUGGCAUAAGUCUACAUUCAGUUUGGAAACGACAAGGAAACUCUAGUAAUAAUCAAAAUGAAGAUGACAAGUAGAGUUUUUAACUCAAAUAAAAAAUAAAUGAAUAAGAUAAAAAUACACACCAAUUCCAUCUCUUCCAAAAAUCACAAAAUGUAGCACCAAUAUCAUGAAUGAGUAAUCGCCCAAAAUGUAGUAACCAUCUCUCUCCCAUUUAUUCUUUUCCUCAUCUUCAAUUUCCUCUCUUGUUACAACUUCUCUGUGAGAAUUUUCGGUGUGAUUUUUAUGCUUCUUUCCUUGCCAUUUGUCACUUUUCUCUGCCUAAGUUUGUACUGAUCCUGUACCUUUCUCUGAGUCCUUAAUCUCUUUGGCUUAAUAUACAUUUUCAAUUACCAAAACAAUAUUUAAAGUUUCUAUUUUCAUUUCACCGCUCAUUUUUGUUUUACUUGUUCAUUGACUACUGUUUUUGUUUGCAGAACCCCUCUUCUGGUAGCUGAAUAAAAUUCAACGGCUUAAACUGAAUUAUCAUGGACUUAAGAUGAAAUCAAAUUAUCAAAUAUGUGUUGACAUGGAAUCAAAUAUCUAACCGCAGUAAGUCCAUGUAGUUACGAAUAAAAAUUGCAUCUUGUAAAUUAUCAAAAGAAGAUUUAACGUUUCAAUUUUUUUUUGUUUAAUUUUACAACAUUGAUCUUCUAUCUUUUUACUUGUUCAUUCAAUUAUUGUUUCAUGUUUGCAGUACCGAUUUACAUCAACUACCUUUUUUCGAUGGCAUUAAGCACCCAAAGAGCCUCGGCAUCUUUUGUUUUGAAUGAAUCAGCUCCUCGAUGGAAGUAUGAUGUGUUUUUGAGUUUCAGGGGUGUAGACACCCGCAAGGGUUUUGUAUCCCAUUUAUACCAUGAAUUGUGCAAUUGCCAAGGAAUUACGACUUUCAUGGACGAUCGAGAUCUUGAAGGAGGAACAAGUAUUCAUCUUGAGCUCCCGAGUGCGAUCAAAGAAUCGCACAUUGCAAUCGUUGUUCUCUCACCAAACUAUGCUUUUUCCAAAUGGUGCUUGAAUGAACUUACAGCCAUUCUUCAAUGCAUGGAAUCCAGGAACUCUAUUCUGCCGGUCUUUUAUGAGACAGAUCCAUCUGACGUUGGAAAUCAACGGGGACGUUUUGCCGAAGCCUUCGCGAAGCAUGAAGAAAAUUCGAGCAGUACCGAAGAUAAAAGGAAGGUGGUCCAAUGGAAAGCUGAUCUAAAAAGAGUGUCCAAAAUUUGUGGUUGGCAUUCGAAGGAAUAUAAGUAAGCAUGCACGAACAACUUUAAUUUCCCAUGUCUUAGUAGAGUCAAAAUUGAAUGCUUCGUUUAUGUUUUUUUGAUUGGUUAUUUCAUACCAUGUAGGAGCGAAAGUGAGAUUAUACAACAACUCGUCAAAAGUGUGUGGAGGAAAGUGCAAGCUACAUUCCCGUUGUUAGAUUCCUCACAGGAAUUAGUUGGGGUUAAUUCUGGGCUUGAGCAACUAAGUUCGUUGUUAGCUCAUGAUGUCAAUGAUGUUCGCUAUAUAGGGAUAACGGGGAUGGGUGGCAUUGGUAAGACAACCCUUGCUAAGCUAGUUUAUGAUAGAAUCUUCCAUCAUUUUGAAGUUCACUGCUUUCUUGAAAACGUUAGAGAGGCUUCUAAAGCAGACCCUACUCUAAUUCGUCUUCAAAAAACACUUCUUUCGCCGAUGUUGAAAGAAAAGAUUCUCACACAACAAUGGGGAAUCAAUUACACCAAGAGAUGCUUAUGGAACAAAAAGGUUCUUCUUGUACUUGAUGAUGUGGAUCACAUAAACCAACUACAAGUACUAGCUGGAAAGGAAGAUUGGUUUGGCAUGGGAAGCAUAAUUCUCAUUACAACUAGAAAUGAACGUCUGCUAGUCGAGCAUGGCAUAACAUUAUGUCAUAGUGUCAAAGUGUUAAAUGAUGAUGAAGCUCUUGCGCUGUUUAGCCUGCAUGCCUUUAAGAAAAAUCUGCCUGAUGAUGGGUUUUUGGAACUGUCUAAGUAUUUCAUUAAUUAUGCUGGAGGCCUUCCAUUAGCUCUAAAAACUUUGGGGUCGACAUUGUUUAAGAGAGGGCUACAUGAUUGGAAUAGUGUGCGGGAUAAUCUGUCAAAAGUUCCUAAUCCAACAAUUUUUGAUAAACUUAAAAUAAGUUAUGAUGGACUAGAAGAGAUGGAGAAGAGCUUUUUUCUUGAUGUUGCAUGUCUCCACAAAGGGAAGCACCGGGAGGAAAUAAUUGAAAUACUAGAUAAUUCUUUUGGAAUUUCUAGUUGUUAUAGGAUAAAUGUACUAAUUGAGAGAUCUCUCCUCUAUCAAGAUCACAAUAAAUGCAUACGGAUGCAUGAUUUGAUACAAGAAAUGGCAUGGACAAUUAUUGGUCACUACUCUACAGAACCUGGUCAACACAGUAGGUUGUGGCUUUACAAUGACAUCUGUCAUAUAUUCACAACGAAUACGGUAAGAAGUUAAAUACCAAGUUUGGAAGAAGAUAUGAUUUCUUUUGGCACUAUAUUAGACUUGAAAGUAAAAUUAAUUUGUCCUUUUUUUCCUUAUUUGUUAGGGAACGGGAGCAAUUGAAGCCAUAUCAUUACGGCUGCCCCAAGUAGAAGAGGCACUCCAGUGGAAUUGCGAAGCCUUCUUUAAGAUGGAUGGACUAAGGUUUUUGGAAUUCGAUAAUUUGAUCUUUUCUUCAGGCCCCAAAUUUCUUCCAUGUUCCUUGAGAAUUAUAAAUUGGAGUUUCUAUCCUUCUAGUUUUCUUCCAACCAGCUUUCACCCGCGCUUCCUUGCUCAACUUAAGAUGCGUGAAAGCAAUCUUGUUCGACUUUGGGAGGGAAAAGUGGUAAGAGUAGCUAUGAACAAAGGAUAAUAUUUGGGUAGUCAUUAGUUAGUACUCACUUGUUUACUUUGUCCAAUGAUAUUAGAACAAAUAUUUUAUUAUUUUUCUAAAAUAAUAGACGUGUUAUUUUAUUUUUCUCGAGUUUUAAAAACAUGGAACACAUGACAUUUUUUUAUUGGACCAAAUUAAAAAAAUGAGUAUAUAGAGUAUUCAGUAGUAAAUGCCUAAGUUUUAUCCAUCCUUGAAUAAAUGCUAUUUAAUUUACAAAAUAAUAAUAUAUUUAUUUAUUAUUUUGAAUAAACUUUAAGGUUGUAGAAGAUACAUAUAUGAUCUGAACCUUAUCGGUGUUGUACAGGACUUGCCAUACUUGAAAUGUAUCGAUCUUACCGAUUCCAAUAAAUUGAAGAGUACCCCAAAUUUCAGUGGUCUUCCAAAUCUUGUGGAUUUGAUUCUUCGGAAUUGUAAGAAUUUAGUUGAGAUACACCCGUCUAUUGCAAUCCUCAAAAGACUUAAACAUUUGUUUCUCAGUGGCUGUGAAAGCAUUAAGAGCCUCCCAAGUGAGGUUGAAAUGGACUCUCUUCAAUCUUUAGAUCUUGUUGGCUGCUCAAAUGUGAAAAAGAUUCCAGAAUUUGGGGAGCAGAUGAAGAAUUUAUUCACGCUUGACUUAAGUGAGACUGCGAUCGAGAAAAUACCUUCAUCAAUUGGACAUCUGGUUGGCCUUAGGGAAUUGCAUGUAAGGAAUUGCAAAAAUCUCUUGAACCUUCCAAGGGCUAUUUGUAAUUUGAAGUCUCUCAAACAUCUACAAUAUGGGAUCGACUAUGACGCAGCCCCUUGUGGAUCGGAUGGUAAAGCAAGCGAGCGGUGGGGGGGCCUUCUCCGCUUAUUAGGACUUGAAAAGAGUCGCCCUGAUCCUCUUCCUUGGUGGAGUUCGGUGUUGUCUUCUCUAAAUCGUUUCUGCUCUUUGACACACUUACAGCUAAAGAAACGUAAUAUCCAGGAGGGGGAUAUCCCCGAUGAUAUUGGCUGCUUGUCUUCAUUGGAAGAAUUGGAUCUUUGUGGAAAUAAUUUCAUCAGUCUACCUGAAAGCAUUAGACGCCUUUCUAAGCUUAGGAAACUUAUUCUGGUGAGGUGCAAAAGCCUUCAACAAUUGCCACCUCUUCCAUCACAGAGCGAAAGUGAAUUUGACUAUGACUGGACCUGGAACUUAUUUGUUCAUGUAGACAUUUGCACUUCCUUACGAAGGUUCUCAGAUCCAUCCAAUUUGUAUGGUGUUUGGGUCACUUGCCUGAAUUGCAUUGCAUUGGUUCCAGAUGAAGGCUGGAUUAAGACAAUACUCUCAGGGGUUGUAAGAUACGCGGUAUCUCUCUCUCUCUCUCUCUCUCUCUCUCUCUCUCUCUCUCUCUCUCUCUCAAUACAAUAAAUAAUUGAUCCUUCUUCUUCUACAGCCAUUCGGUCCGAUGAACGCUGUAAUCCCUGGAAGUGAAAUCCCAGAGUGGUUCAAUAAUCAGAAUGUGGGACAUUCAAUAAAUGUGGAGGUUCCUCCAGGUGACGACUUGCUGGAGCUUGUCAUCUGUGCUGUUUUUCAAGACCCUUCCCAAAACUUGGCAAAUCCAGCUGCCCUUCGUCAUUAUGAUAAUUUCGAAAUUAUGUGUUUUGGGAACCCUCCUAUAGGUACUAAUGGUGUGAAAUACGGCAUAGGGUCUCUUGUGUCAGAACACCUUUGGAUAUUUUCUUGUCUGUGUCCUCUUCGUGAAGAUUGUCAUCAGAAACUGUUAUCUUUCGAAACUUUUUUUGAUGGGAAACUAAAAGCAGAUUGGCAUGUGGUGAAGAAGUGUGGGGCUCGUUUGGUGUACAAGCAAGAUUUGAAAGAACUCAACCGAAAACUACUGAAAUGAACACGGGAAAAUCAUGACGAGGCAACUACACGGCAACUCCGUUUUGACGAUCAAAUGAAUUUGCGGCCUAUGCAUGGGUGAAGUGCGAGAGGGAAGAGGAUAAAGAUUGCUAUGAAGUUCUGAAACAAGAAGCGAAUGUUAAUGGUCGUCCAGGUGCUGAAUUUGGAGCUGAAGAUCGAUAUGUUCGUCUCACCCUCUUAAGGACCCAAGAUGAUUUUGAUUUAUUGCUUCAGCGACUCAACUCCUCAAGUAGGGUGUCAAUACGUGGCAUAAUCUGCUACAGAGAAACAUUGCAGAAAUAUAGUAGAGCACUACUCGUGCUCCCUUAUGUACGUUUGUAGAAAUAUAGGAGAGCACUACUCGUGCUCCCUUAUGUACGUCUAUAUAUAGCAGUCACCAUUUAGUUUCGGAAGAAAGACAAAGCCAACAAACCAUAUGUAAACCAUUUGAUCGCAAAAUAACUACCUCACAAUCUUUGUGGGCAUUUUUUUUUUCCUGUAACUCUCUUAAACAGAAUUCCUCAGUUCUGUCAACAUUUUAGUGCCCUGAACAUGCCACAAAAUAAAUCAAAGUAAAUAAUGAGAUCAAUACACAACCUUUGUCACUUUGAAGUUCUACAAACAUAUGGUGCAUAUUUACCGCAUAACGCAACUGGUAAGCUCCAUAAUGUAAAUUCUCCAGACGGCUGGAAAAUAUCCCAACAAAUACUUUAGGCUCCUCAACAGGGUUUUGACCUACUAUUCAAUUUGAUUCUAGGACUCCAGUCCAAUCUCACGUCUCAAACUGAAGCCAUAUUAUACAAUCCUAAUAGGAAAAACGACCUAUGAAAGUUUCAUACCUUGGAAUUUAUUACUUUAAUUGCAAUAAAGCCAGGUAACGGCCUCCCACCAUCUGACGAAAAGAUCCUUCCAUGUAUUCCUAUCUAGAGGGUAUAAGUUGAGUGUAAUUAAACGAUAUCACACCCAUCUAAAAUUAAACAUUUGAAAUAUUGGAAAUGGUGUCAUGCGAGAAUUUUCGCUCUAAAUCUCAAAUGUUUCACACAGAGAAAGUUAUUUCAAGAAUACUUAAAAUGCUAUGCACUUAUGAUUACUCUUCUCAUGAUCAAAACAACAUGUGAAUCAAGUACCAUGGAAUCAAUCAACAGACCACAAGCUAAAAUAAGUAAACAUUCAGUCCCUGUGGUAAGACCAUCUAAUAACAUAUUGAUAGGCAGCCAUAACAUACCUUGGCUACAGUUGCAACGAGAUUAAGCAUGCUCAUUUUGUUGCAUCCCCAAAGAGUCAGAAGCUGCAUGUUUAUACGCAUUAAAGACAACACGUCAAACAGCUAAAUGAUAAAAAUGUCGUACCCAGUGCACAAGGCUCCCGCUUUACGCAGGGUCUGGGAGAGGUGAAUGUCAGCUAGCCUUACCCCCAUUUAUAGAGAGGCUGCUCCCAAGUCUCGAACCCGAGACCUACCGCUCAUGGGCGAAGGCACUUGCCAUCGCACCAGCUAAAUGAUAGUAAGUUAAAAUGAAAGGGAAAUAAUCUCCUAGGCCAAUAAAAGUCACUUGUGCCAAUUGAUCAUCCAAUAAAAGUCCUUGAGUCUUCCUAACUAAAUGGAUAUAAAACUACCAAAAAUUCCCAUAUCACAAAUCAACUAGAACCUGUAAAUAAGCAAGAAUGCAAAGCUUAUGUUAAUAGGAAACAAGAAACAGGCAAAAAACAUAUAACUAACAUUGUGCCUCGUGUAUAGGUGAGGAACAAGAAACAUAACAUGAUAUUAGAAUAAUAUCAAGAUUUGAAGCAAGGACAGAGAGAAAAUAAUCGGCCAUGUUAGGAUACCGAGUAACCCAAAUUUAUCCUAGGUUAUUCACAAAGUAGACACUGAAAGUGUUGAGUGAAGCUUCUCUUUAAACAGACAUCAAGAUAUAUUCCCUACCUAAAACCUUUUAAUGAGGUGAAAUUUUAGAUUUUGAAAACACUGACAAGAUUAAUGGAUCCUCUCCCACCCCCCAAAAAAAUGCAAGUCUCUUUGAAGUGUCCAAGUCAUCAGAUUUUGUGCCUACAAUUUUGAACCUGAACAAUGAAAGACAAACAAAAUAAAAAUACAGGGCUCCUGUUCAAGUUGAGCUAAAGUUUGAGGAAGAGCAUCGUUCUCGACUAGGAAGAGCCAGCACCAUGCAAGGUUCCGUCCCCACCCCCCUAAGGUCCAUUGGACCUAUGGCUACACCAAAGGUGUAACCGUAUCCCCAUAUACAAGAUAAACUUGGCUAAAGAAAAUAGUAUUUUAUAUCAAGGUUGCAAACACUCGCAUAACUGAUGCCUGGCCUCAUUAGCAGCAGGCCAUUUAUUAUCACUAAUCUCCA
rnacentral:lncRNA from 1 species